GGGGGGGGGGGUGUGAGACAGCAAGAUUGAGCUCACAUACGUUCAUCGCUCAACAAGUUGUGGGGAAUAAUGUGGCAUGAACUCACCAAAGGUGGGAGUUCAUGAAGUGUAAGGCUGAUCAAUGAAAUAGAGGCUGAAGCUGAGCAUUGCUUUUAUAAGUUGGUCAAAAUUUUAUUAGCAGUUACUAAGUGUAAGUAAGUACCAAACCAUAGUAAUAAUAAGUAAAAGUAAUAAUAAAAUAAUCCCAAAUGCAAUGAAAUGACAGAUUAAGUUUAAGUUCCAUAAAUUAAUCAUGUGAGUGUCUGAGCCGCUCAUGACCGUGAGCACGGCUAGUAUACCAAUUUUACACUCUGCAGAGGUUGCGCAUCUUUACCCACAAGUCGUGUUACCCAUUUGCCACAGAGUUGAUCAGACUCCAUACACCUCUACCGAGGAAGCGAGGCAGGGUACCACUACGAGGCCUUUACAAAGUUCCACUAGCUUCAGACUACCCGCUACAGUUUAUAGGAAGCUCCAGUGCAGGGUUCUUGCCUGACCGCCAUCGCAGCAAAUCAACCCAAGGACCUCCCUACACUGACCACUCCCCUACUGCCCUUGCCCCUUUCGGGUAAGGUAGCCCUCCACUAGCUUUCCUAGUUAAUCAGCCAAGGGCGCCCAUUAAACCCUUGUGGUAGCACUGUUUUCCCGGGUGGUUCUCCAUGUUCCCAUUAACAUAAUGAUCUUAUCAUGAACAUAAAAUAAUGAACAGAUAAUAGAAAGUGUAAUCAUGAGUCAUAAAUAUCUUUAUACCCAAAUCCACAUAAAGCAAUAGCAUGUACUACCCAAAAAUUUAGUAGUAAAACCAGUGGUGAAACAAGGUAUGAAGAUAGUCAAAUCUAGGGUAACCUAUUGGGUCCCAGCAAAAUUAACCUAUGCAGAUCAUUAUGAUUAAUAAGAACAUGAAUGGGUAAAAGGAGUGAUCAAGGGCACAACUUGCCUUCAACGAGCUCCUGCUCAGCUACUUCUACUUGUUGAACCUCAGAUUCCACAGUGGCUUGCUCGUCUACUCACAUCAACACAAUACAUACAUAGUAUAGCAAAAAUUAACAUUACAUCAAACAUGUAAAUAAAAUAUACAGUAAAAAUCUAGACAUUAAAAUGGAAUCAUAGGAACUGGAAUCAUUGAAUUUGGAGUUAUAUAUUUUAAGUUAUGAAUUUCCAAAGAUUUUAUGCAUUUAAUAUAGGGUUAAGUGAGAAAUAAAUUUUAAUGUGAAUUUCAUGUGAAAACAGUGGUACUAUUUGAUAAAGAAUAAUAUUACAAAGUUAUAGGAACUGGAAUGAUUAAAUUUGGAGUUCAUAUGCAUUUUCUACAAUUUAAACAAGUUCUAACAUUUAUUUAUGCACUAAAAAUUGAUUUCUGAUAUUAAUUUCUGAUUUUCAAUGCUCUCUGGAUUGGGCCUCAAAUUCCAGAAAGCGCAGGGGUGUUGGCGCAAAAGAUCCUAAGACACAGACUAGCCAGGGAAGGACUGCGGGUUGUUUUCUGUUUUUCCGAGGGCUCUUUAGAAAAAUGACCAUCGCGUAGGGGUAUCGGCCACCAUGAUCCGUUUGAUUAGAAGCGAACGGUCCAGAUUUGCUCUGUUAUUAAUUGAACCGAUACACAACCCAGACCACUGGAUCUGGACCUUACGGCCCAUAAUCGCCCUAAGCAUCCGCCGUUCGAUCCACACGAACGACCCAGAUCUAACCAACGAAUCGGUACGCCUAGAUUCACUCACAACCGUGGAUAAGCCAAUCAACGGCGCACGAUGUUUACUCCCCUAGAUCUAAUCCCAAGCGCUCCUUUCCCAUCCAACGGCCAUCAGCCCCCCCUUCUUCACCACCACACCAGCCAUGGCGGUGAAAACGCCACCACGGCGGCGCUCCCGCCGGCGAGGGCGCACCAGGCGCAACGGUGUGCCAGUUUCAAAUCGGAGGAAGGCUACAUGAAGCGGACAUGAUGGUGAAGAGUUUGGCGGCGCUAUUACCUCGUGGUAUGCAGCAGGAUGCCCUAGCCACGCCAUGGGGCGGAUCCGCGGUGGCGUAGACGCGACGACGAGAAAUUAGUGGGGCACUGGUGGUUUUCUUCGCCAAUGGAGGCCCCUGCUAGCUUCGGUAGACGCUCAGAAACCCACCGGUGCAACACUACGGCCCCGAACUCGCCGCGGCGUGGACCAAUUUGGCGGCGGCGGCAGAACAAAGUCCCACAACAGCGCACGGUUGAGUGGUUAGGGACGACGGACGCGGGUAUGGGGUGCAAGACGUGGCUUGAUCUAGCUCGAGGAUUAGCGGAUGAGGAGGGGAAGUCCACAGGUCGUCCGAGUUUUAUCCCCAGCUUUCGGGCGCUCGGACCCGGUCUUCACGCGUGGAGGUUGAACAGAGCGCCCGCGAGAGGAGGGAGACUAUCCUGACCGGUGGGGACCACACGACAGAAGAGAGAAAAUGCCCCGCCCAACGCCAGAGUGGCUGACUGAUGGGCCCCGGUUGACAGUCGGUCCCGCAGGUGGGCGCUGCUGGCUUAGGCGGGCCGCGGAGCCAAGGGGGAAGAGAAGGGAAGUGGGCCGCCGGUGGGGACAAUUCGCCCAAGUACUGUUUUUCUAUUUUCCAUCUCCUUUUCUUUUAUUUGCCUUUCUUUUCCUUUUAGAUUCUAAAUUUUGAAUUCAACUUUGUGAUGAAUUUGUCGUCAGUUUUAAAUGUGCCAUUAAAGUACUGACUUUGAAGAUACAUCUUUAUAUAUGUUUUAUGUAAAUUUUAUACUCUUUCUCUUUCUUUUCCAUUUCUUUUCUUUCCUUCUCUAUUUCAAGCCAAAUUGCUAUUUGGGUUUCAAUCCACAUCUCAAAUUAAUAUAAUAUUUUUAUUCAUCUUACUAUUUUAUUAAAUGCACAAGCAAUUGAACUCCAACAUGAUGCACCAUUCUUUUAUUUAGUAUAUUUAUUGGUAGCCAAGGUUAAUCCCAUGAUUUGAAUUAUGCAAAAAUGAGAUUAACAACACAAGUGGUCAAAUGGACCCUUUUAUAUUUCUCAUUUCCUGUACAUUCUAUUACUCUUCACUAUUUGGGUAUUACAAAUCCUACCCCCCUUAAAAAUAAUCUCGUCCUCGAGAUUUAGGAAGGACUAGGGAAAAGAUGGGGAAAGUCUAUGCGAAGCUCUUCUUCUCUCUCCCAAGUAGCUUCAUCUUCUCCGUGGUGACUCCAUUGUACCUUGCACAUCUUAAUCACCUUAUUUCUUGUAACUCGAGUCAAAGUGUCUAAAAUCUUGAUGGGAUACUCAGCAUAAGUCAAAUCACCCUGAAAACUGAGCUCUUCCAUUGGUAACUGUUUCGCAAGGACACGGAUACACUUCUUAAGUUGAGACACAUGGAAUAUAUUUUGCACAUCAGAUAGAUUAUCAGGUAGCUCGAGUUGAUAGACCAUCUCCCCAACUUGCCUAAAAACUCAGAAUGGUCCAAUAUAGCGAGGGGACAACUUGCCCUUAACUUUAAAUCUCCUCAUUCCACGAAGUGGCGAUACCUUGAGGUACACUUGAUCACCUUGCUCAAAUUCUAGUGGUCUUCUUCUAUUAUCUGCGUAGCUCUUUUGCCUGGUUUGAGCUACCCUCAAAUUCUCUCGAAUUAUACAAACUUGUUCUUCUGCCUCUUGAAUAAGUUCAGGUCCAAAGAAUUGUCUUUCUCCAGUUUGAUCCCAGUACAGUGGAGUCCUGCAUUUUCUACCAUACAGAGCUUCAAAUGGUGACAUCUUCAAACUGGCCUGAUAGCUAUUAUUAUAAGAAAACUCAGCAUAGGGUAAGCUCUUCUCCCAACUGCCACCAUGCUUAAGGGCACAAGCUCUUAACAUAUCUUCUAGCACUUGAUUAGUCCUCUCGGUCUGCCCAUCAGUCUGUGGAUGGUAAGCCGAACUAAAAUUCAAUCUCGUAUCCAAGGACUCGUGUAACUUCUUCCAAUACCGAGAGGUAAACUGUGAUCCCCGGUCUGACACAAUCUUCUUUGGCACACCAUGCAGGCAUACAAUCCAUGCCAUGUACAACUCUACCAACUUGGCUCCUGAAUACGUGGUCUUCACUGGAAUAAAGUGGGCUACCUUAGUUAGCCUGUCCACAAUCACCCAUAUAGAAUCAUAUCCAGCAGACGUGCGGGGCAAUCCAACAAUGAAGUCCAUGUCAAUCUCUUCCCAUUUCCACUCAGGUAUCUUCAGUGGGUGCAGUAGUCUGGCUGGCCUCUGGUGUUCAGCCUUAACUCUUUGGCAUACAUCACACAUAGCCACAUGUGCAGCCACAUCUCUCUUCAAUCCAUACCACCAGUACUUUUGCUUCAAAUCUUGAUACAUCUUAGUGCUUCCAGGGUGGAUGGAGUAAUCAGAAUCAUGAGCUUCUUUCAAUAUAGUCUCACGAAGGCUAUCAAUCUCUGGAACACAUAUCCGAUCUUUGAACCAUAUAGUACCUUGCUCAUCCUCCGUGAAUUCCGGAACUCGACCUUCCGUAAUCAGAUCCUUAAUCUCUUGAAUCUUAGCAUCACCAACCUGACCUUUACGAAUCUCUUGCUCCAAGGUAGGUUCCAACUCAAUGGUAACUCCUUCAGUGUGAGUAACAAUUCCCAAAUUGAGUCUCUCAAAGUCUUUUGCUAAUUCAUCGGGUAGUUGGACGACGAAAGCGGAGUGAACAUGCUCCUCCCGACUCAAGGCAUCCGCAACCAAAUUUGCCUUGCCCGGGUGAUAGUGAAUCUCCAAAUCAUAAUCCUUAAUGAGCUCCAACCAACGGUGUUGCGUAAGGUUGAGAUCCUUCUGAGUGAAUAUAUACUUCAAACUCUUAUGAUCCGUGUAUACUUAGCACUUAGUUCCCAUAAUGUAGUGUCUCCAAAUCUUAAGUGCAUGCACAACUGCUGCCAGCUCCAAGUCAUGAGUGGGGUAGUUCAAUUCAUGUUUCCGCAACUGACGAGACGCAUAGGCGAUCACAUGUCCUUCUUGCAUGAGCACACAUCCUAAUCCUUGGCCACAUGCAUCACAAUAAAUAUCAAAUCGCUUCUGUAGAUCUGGCAUAAUCAACACUGGUGGUGACAUCAAUCUCUUCUUUAAUUGAUCAAAGCUAACUUGACACUUCUCGUCCCACUUAAACUCUCUUCCCUUCUCUAGAAGUGAGGUCAUAGGCUUAGCAAUCUUAGAAAAUCCUUCAAUAAAUCUCCGAUAAUAUCCUGCAACUCCCAAGAAACUCCAAAUCUCUGGGACUAUAGUGGGUAUGCUCCACGCCACUAUCGCCUUGACUUUAGCAGGAUCCACUGCUAUUCCGCCAAAUGACAUAACAGUGAACUCAUAUAAUCCAUAUCGGGUUGAGACAGUUGUCUUGGGAACAUCCGAUGGUCUAAUCUUCAUUGAUGGUAUCCCGAUCUGAGGUCAAUCUUAGGGAACACCCUGGCACCUCUCAUCUGAUCAAAUAAAUCCUCAAUGCGGGGUAACGGAUACUUGUUCUUCAUAGUGACACCAUUAAGGGACCUUUAAUCCACGCACAACCCUUGCAAUCCAUCUUUCUUCUGUACAAACAAAACCAGUGCUCUCCAAGGUGAAGACUCGGACGAAUGUACCCAGCCUCUUGUAAUUCAGAUAACUGCUUCUUCAGUUCCUUUAACUCUUCUACGGACAUCCUACAUGGCCAUUUAGAAAUAGGAGCAGUUCCAGGUAAGAGAUCUAUGACAAACUCAACUUCCGUAUCUGGUGGCUUCCUUGGUAACUCUUCUGGAAAGACAACCGACAAAUCUCUAACCGCACGAAUGUAGCCACUAACAAACUUCUCAUCUACUAAGAAUGUCGCUAGUCUGGUGGCGGUAGUUACUGCAAUUCCAACUUCAAAUCUUUCUCCUUUGGAACUGGUGAGUUCUAUGGUUCCUUUAGCACAGUGUAUAAACUGUCUUUGCCUUUCUUAACCAUGACAUACCAAGGAUCAAGUCUAUAGUGCUCUCUUCUAACACUAUAGGGGUCGCCCAUCUGGGUUAGAAAUACAGGGUGAGAAAGAAAGGAUUGUAGACAAGGCAGGUGAUUACGAAUUAUGUUACUUUGGGGGAUUCAUGAGCUAAGUGUGUUGCCUACUAAAGCUAAUUCAUUACCUUAUGGUGGUACAUGCUAAGAUGCCCAACUAUAAUGUUUCAAUCAGUCAAAGAAGCAAAUCAGACAUUUUUCAUCAGAACAAUCAAACAACAUUUUUUUAAAUAUAGAAAAUAGUUUUGAUUUUGUCUUAGGUUCCCUAACUCUUAAGAAUGUCAUAGGGGUAGGGAUUCCAAGGUGUGAAAUCCAUCUUGUCUUAGAGUAGAAAAGGUAAGAAUGAUCAGAGUAGAACAGUAGAAGGUGAGACAGGAUCAAGAUAAGUAUAGAGAGAAUCAGAGUAAGAUAAGUAGGUAAGGGUUUUGUCCAUUUCUAUCUAGGUUUUGUCCUACAGUCAACAUUUCCUCUGAUACCACUUCUGUCACACCCGGUUUUAAGGGACAAAGCCGGGUGCAUCUCAUACAUGCGCCAAGAAGACAACAUAUAUAAUAACAGAAUGUAUAGAGAUAAAUGUCAUAAAACAUCAGAGUAUUUAUUACAUAGCGGAAGACUUAAUACAAAAUAAACGAUAAAUAUAAAACGAACUAAGGAUCGUCGGCGCCAAUGUCAACUGAGAAACGCCACCUAGAUCAGAUCAAACUCCUCGCCCUGUGGCUCCUCCUGAACCACCUGUUCUUCUCCUGUGGGGGUUGGGUGUGAGACAGCAAGAGUGAGCUCACAUACGUUCAUCGCUCAACAAGUUGUGGGGAAUAAUGUGGCAUGAACUCACCAAAGGUGGGAGUUCAUGAAGUGUAAGGCUGAUCAAUGAAAUAGAGGCUGAAGCUGAGCAUUGCUUUUAUAAGUUGGUCAAAAUUUUAUUAGCAGUUACUAAGUGUAAGUAAGUACCAAACCAUAGUAAUAAUAAGUAAAAGUAAUAAUAAAAUAAUCCCAAAUGCAAUGAAAUGACAGAUUAAGUUUAAGUUCCAUAAAUUAAUCAUGUGAGUGUCCGAGCCACUUCGUGAAGUAUUCAACGGUGACGAAGGUGAACUUGAGGUUCCCUUGAGCCGUAGGUAGUGGCCCAACAAUAUCCAGCCCCCAGCGUUGGACUAGCCAUGUGUGGGCAAUCAGCUUGGUGAACUGCGAAGGGUUGCCCGAGCAGGGAGCCGCAAAUUCCGUUGUGGACUUCGCGUAGGAUCUAGAUGCCUUCGAUUUUGGUGACGCAUUUUAGCAUGGGUUGACUGAUCCCCUUCUUGUAUAGUUGUUCCCCGACUAGUACAAAGUCCCGACUUCGGUGCUUGAGGCGCUUGGCCUCAUUGACAUCACUCGGGUGGUAGUAUCCUUGCAGAAAUAGUGUUAUUGGGGCCCGCCAGUCUUCGGUCAUAAUGAGGUUGACGAUGCAAUGGCCUUCGGCGUCGUUGGUUACUUGUAAUCCCUCUGGGUUGCGGACGGCUGGUGUGCCAAUGACGUGGUAGAACACAUCGGAGGGCAAGGUCUCGCCUCUGGCCGCUGCCUUAGCCAACUCGUUGGCCUCUUCGUUCCUGGCGCGGUACACAUGCUGUAAGGUGAAGACCUUGAAUUGUCUCUCGAGACUGCGAACAGCCAUGAGAUACUGCAUGAGUGCGGGGUCUUUUGCUGAAUAUUCUUUUUCUACCUGGUCGGCAACUACUUUAGAAUCUGUCUUUACUAUGCAGGUAGUGAUACCGAGCGCUCUCAGCUUGCGAAGGCCCAGGAUGACAGCUUCGUAUUCUGCUAUGUUGUUUGUGCAUCUAUCGGAUUCCAAAGUGAAGCUAAGGCGUGCUGCGUAUCUGUGCUUGAUGCCUUUGGGUGACGUGAUAAUUGUAGCUGCGCCUGCCCCCGCAUGGCACCAUGCGUCGUCCCGGUGGAUGGUCCACACCUUCUCUGGAGGGUCUCUUGCUAUUGUGUCGGUCCAGUCCAGUCGACGAUGAAGUCUGCCAGGACCCGUGACUUGAUUGCUGUCCUGGGCUCAAAAGUGAUGUAGUACCCGGAGAGUUCGGCUGCCCAUUUGGCGAUUCGGACGGACGCCUCCGAGUUUCUGAAUAGUUCUCCCAGUCCCCUGUCCGAGGUGACCCACACUUUGAACGCCUCGAAGUAGUGGCGCAGCUUGCGCGAUGCCAUCACGACUGCGUAAGAGAUUUUUUCCAAUUCGGUCAUGUUGCACUUGGAGGCCGUGAGGACCUCGGAGACGUAGUAGACUGGACACUGUCGGGUCGUGCCCUCUCUGUCUUGCUCUUGGACUAGGGCUGCGCUGACUGCAUAUGGUGAGGCUGCGAUGUAGAGCAGCAGAGGCAGCGAGGGGUGUGGACUGGUGAGAAUUGCCAAGUCUGACAAGUGUUGCUUGAGUGAUGCGAAGGCUGCCGCCUGUUCCGGUCCCCACUCAAAGUCUUUCGCACCACACAGUGUCUUGAUGAAGGGUAGACUCCGCUCUACGAAUCUGGAAAUGAAUCUGUUGAGGGCGGUUAGUCUACCUGUUAGACGCUGGACUUCCCUGGUUGACUGCGGGGGUGACAUGUUGAUGAUUGCCUGAAUCUUGGUCGGGUUGGCCUCGAUCCCGCGGUGCGACACCAGGUAGCCCAGUAUCUUCCCCUGGCAGACUCCGAAGACGCACUUCUCAGGGUUGAGGCAAAGUCGUGCGUCCCGCAUGUUUGCGAACGUCUCUGCGAGGUCAGCUAGGUGGUCUUCUUUAUUUUUGCUUCCGACAACGAUGUCGUCUACGUACGUGAAAAUGUUGAGGCCCACUUGGCUCUCGAGCACCGUCUUGGUGAGGCGAGAGAAGGUUGACCCAGCAUUCUUGAGUCCCUCCGGCAUCCUGAUGAAGCAGUACGUGCCGAAGGGUGUGAUGAAGCUGGUGCUAGCCUUGUCUUCCUCCUUCAUGUAUAUCUGGUGAUAGCCGGAGAAACAGUCAAGAAGUGACAUGACUUCGCAUCCGGCUGCACUAUCGACUAUCUUGUCGAUCCGUGGUAGCGGGAAAUUGUCCUUGGGACAGGCCUUAUUGAGGCUGGUGAAGUCAAUGCACAUGCACCACUUGCCGCUUUUCUUUUGUACCAUGACUACUUUGGCGAGCCACAAGGGGUAGGCGAUUGGUUCAAUGAAAUUGGCCUCCAGCACGCGGUGCACUUUAGCUUUGGCGGCUUCCGUUUUUUCAUCCGACAUUUUGCGCAGUCGCUGCUUUUUUGGGCGCACCGAAGGGUCGAUGCCCAGACUUUGCUCGAUGACGGUGCGGCUGACUCCGACCAGGUCAAGGGCGGACUAGACGAAGACAUCUUUGUUUCUGGAGAGACAGGAGAUGAGCUUCUCCUGGUCUUGCGAAGUCAGGUCUUCGCUUAUGACGACCGUUUGCUUGGGCGUCGCCGAGUCGAGGGGAACUGUCUUCGUUUCGUCGUUGCUCUGCAGCUGUGCUUUUGCUUUUUCAUCGGCGGCUGGGCGGUCGCCUUGGAGACUUCGCGUUGUGUCGUAAGGUAGUGUACGUUCUGUUGACCUGGAACGAAGUCUCUCUCAAUGUUGCAUGCAGUCUGCUGGUUGCUGUAAACCGUUAUCACGCCUUGUGGACCCGGAAUUUUGAUGCAGAGGUACAAUCCGUGAAUGGCCACUUCAAAUUUAUUGAUGGAGCCCUGACCCAUUAUGGCAUUGUAGGGAUAUACCAUGUCGACGAUGUCAAAGGUGACCUGUUCGCUUCACGCAUUGGGUGCUACACCGAAUGACAGGGGUAAUUCUAUCUUGCCCACGAGGAAAGUGCCCUUGCCGCCGAAGCCAUAUAGGGGGUUGUCCGAAGGCUUGAGUAAGUUGUGGUUGAUGCCCAUGCGAUCGAAGGCGUGCAGGAAGAUGAUGUCCGCUUGGCUGCCAUUGUCGACUAGGACUUUGUGCAGGUCCCAGCCUGCUACACUACAGUUGAUUACCAUGGCGUCGACGUGGGGUGCGCUGCACAGAUCAACAUCUCUGGCGUCGAAGGUUAAUGGCACAUGUGACCACUUCGUUUGCAUGACUGGGCCGAUGAGGGCGACGUGGUUGACGCUUCGAUAGUGAUCCCUCUUUUGCCGCUUCGUCUCGAAGUCGACGCUAGACCCUCCGGUGAUCAUGUGGAUGACUCUGCGAUACGGCUGAUCGCCGAAGUGUUCUUGUUUUGGUGCUUGGUGGUGAUUUUGGUGGUGUGAGUUUGGUUGAUGCGGAGGCGGGAGCGGAGGUGGUACGACUUGUACCUCCUGGUGGUGUUGAUAUGCGUGGUUGGGUUGAUGUUGGGCGUGGCCGUUGUUGUAUGGUUGUGGGUGGUGGUGUUGAUAUGUGUGCGCGACAACUCUCGGGUUGUCGGCUGGUUGUGCCCGAGACAUUCUGUCCCUGGUGGCCUUUGUUUCCGGGCAAUCCCUUGUUGGAUGUGCGCAGUCUUCACCAUGGAACAGGCUGUAAUAUCUGCGCGGUUGUUGUGCCCGUCCUUGGCCCUGGCCUCGCGUGCCAUUGCCAUGGCCCAGGGGGGGAUAGUCUUGACGGUGAGCGGCUUCGCCGGCGGGGUGCUGGUUGGCUAUGUUGUGCACAUGCUGCUGACUGUGGCUGUCCCGUUCGGAGUCUGACUGUGAAGGCCUUGUCUAGGUUUGGCUGGACUGUGGAGGGUCCUUGGGCUUUCUCUGAGACUCGACCUUGCGCUGAUGGAGCUCUUCGGAUCUGGUGUACUUCUCGAACAACUGAUAGAGCUCUUGGAAAUUUUUGGGUGGGUCCCUGAUGCAGUGACUAUAUAGGACGCCAGCCUGAAGGCCACUGAUGGUGUAGUGUAUGGCAAUUUGGUCGUCGACCGAAGGCAGUUGUGACUUGAGAGUCAGGAACUUGCGGUAGUACUCUCGUAUGGUUUCUUUCCUGUUGCUGUUUGCAGAGUGAUAGCUCGGCCAAGGCAUCGGUGUCUGGGCGGUACCCUUGGAAGUUGAUCAGAAACUUGUCUCGGAGACUUUUCCAGGAGUCGAUGGACAAUGGGGGCAACCUGGUGUACCAGGUCAAGGCCAGGCCCUCGAGGGCGAUGAUGAAAGACUUGGCCAUUGUGGCGUCGUCCCCUCCGGAUGAUGCGACGGCGACUUGAUAGCUCAUGAUGUAUUGUGCUGGGUCGGUGCUGCCGUUGUACUUGGGGUAGGUCCCCGCCCUGAAGUUGGCGGGCCAUGGUGACACUUGGAGUUGCGGCGCUAGGGGGCUUCGCUCAUCAAGGUAGUUGAUGCCUUGGAAAGCUGCGGCGUGCGGGAUAAAGGGUCCGCGCUGGGGAAUGAAUAAGUCACAGGCUGGCGCGCGCUAUUGGAGGGGUGGGCCGUGUUGCAGAUCAUGCUGGUCUUCGCUCUACAUGAGCGCAAUCUCUUGGUCGAGUUCCCGGGCUCUCUGCUCCUUGUCUCGUAUCAUCUGGCGCACCUUGGCUUGCGCGGUGACACGUUGGCGCUUGGCCUCGAGGAUGUCUUUCUGCUUUUGGAGGUUGCGGUUCUUGAUGUGCAGGGCCCGUAGUUAUAGCUGUUCUUCGGCUGAGACGCUGAUGACUUCGCCGUCCUCUGUUGCGUCUUUGCCCUCUGGUGGAGCGAAGCCUGGGGGUGGUGCUUGUGGUUGUCCUCCGGAGCUACAGGUGCGUAGGGUGCCUUCGGGAGUGGGUUGGUCAUCUUCGCAGGCUUCUUGGGGGUGUUGUCUGCGAGGGCCUUGCCCUUUUUCUCGGCUAGCAGCGCUGCCUUAUCUGCUUCAUCGAUGGAUGGGGCUGCCUUCGAACUAGGUCUCUUGGGUGCCAUCGCGGGUGGUUUGUUCGUAGCACGAACGGUGGGCGCCAAUGUUGGAACUUGCUCUCCUGGGCAAGUUGAUCCAAUGGGGGAGUGGAAAGGGCGCAAGCAAAGUUUAACGCGGAUGGCAAUUGCUCUAUUGAUCUGGCCUCUCAAGGGCAUUGUACGGGGGUAUUUAUAGGUACCCGAAUGUCGAACGUCCUAAGACAAGGACGGUUAUGUCCUCAGGUUCCCGGAUUAUCCCUAGUAUAUUCCCAUAAAGGGGGGUUACAGACCGUCAUUACAGAAAAGCUAUUACAGAUGAGGCUCGUAACCUGCCUGUCCACGCGGGGCCCGUUGCAGUGGGCCGAAUUCCACAUGGGCCUCCGGGUGAGAUGAGGGACGCGGGACCAGCAGACUUCGUCGGGGUCUGGCCUUCGUCUUGCAAUGGAGAGGACGAAGGGCAACCGCGCCAGUCGUCACGCGUUCGUUGAUGUAGCGACACGACGAAGGCUUCGAGCGAAGGGUAGCGUCUUCGCCUUUGCCCCAACAUAGUGUCUAAGGGUCUAGCUAACCCUGGCAACAUGGGAUACACGACUUGUGGGUACCGGGUACAACCUCUGCAGAGUGUAAAACUGGUAUACUAGCCAAGCUCAUGGUCAUGAGCAGAUCAAGACUCUCGCAUGAUUAAAUUAUGGAACUAAAUUCAAUAUGUCAUUUGCAUUGCAUGGGAUUACUAAUUAUGGUUCGGUAUUUACUUACAUUUAGUAACUACUAAUAAAAUAUGACCAACUUAUUAAAAGCAAUGCUCAGCUUUAACCCAUAUUAUUGAUCAGCCUUACACAUCACAUGAACUCCCACCCUUGGUGAGUUCAUGCACAAUAUACCCCACAACAUGUUGAGCUAUGAACGUUUGUGAGCUCACUCUUGCUAUCUCACACCCCACAGGUCAAGAAAAGGUACCAUAGGAUGAGGCGCAUGGUGGAUGCGGCAAUGUGUUCGUGAGAGGUCUAGGUCGUUGUCUCCUAGUCAACAUUGGGUUGCUGAUCGUUGUCUCCUUGCGAUAUUAUUAUUAAUUUAUUUUGUACAUAACUCCUAAUGUAUAAUAAAGUUGUGACAUUCGUUUCUGUACCAUGAUUCAUCAUAUGUGUGAGACUUGGUCCCAACACACCUGGUGAUUAUGUUCACGCCCGGGUCCCUAAAACCCGGGUGUGAUAGAAGUGGUAUCAGAGGAAUGUUGACUGUAGGACGAAACCUAGAUAGAACUAGACAACCAUUGUCUACUUACCUUUGCUGCUCUGAUUCUUUUCUAAACUUUUCUUAAUCUUUUCUCAUCUAUUUCAGCUUACUCUGGUUACUCUUACCUUUUUCCUUCUAAAGACAAAUGUGGAUUUCACACUUUGGAAUCUCGUGCCUAAAGUGACCUUUAGGAAUAUGAGCCCUACCCUUAGUAACAAAAACAAAACUAUUUUUAUAGGUAUCUAUGUGGCAGAACCACCCGAAUUAUUCCAGCUUAAGUGCCUAAGUCACGCCUCAGGGGCCGUAACACACUUAAAUCGGAAUAACCCGUCAGUCCCUCAGAUCUAGUCUGAUAGAGCCACUUAACCAGGAUCAAAUUCCACAAUCUCACUCGAAGAUGAGUCACGGAAGAAGUACAAUAAAACAGGAAACCUCAAAUUAAGUGCUGAAUUAUUACAUAGAUCGGAGUUUUUGAGUAGCAAAUAAGAGUUCACGAAAUAAAAUGCAGCAGAUAAUCGAUGUCGUCGGUAUUGAGGAAAUGGGCAAGGCCUAGCCCACUACUCCUCAUGCUCCUCUCCUGCCGGAGCAACAUCCCACUCGACCGUCCAACCCGGUGGCAGGGUGGUAGGCCAAGUCACACCAUCAACCAUAUCCUGAAGCGCACCUGCAAAAAUUAUGCCACAAGCAAGGCUGAGUAUACUAAUACUCAGCUAGACUUACCCGGUGUGAGGAAACUACUCCUCUACCUCUAGACUAUGCAGCUGUUUGGCUGAGGGGUUUGGUUUGCCUAAAGCACUAGCUGUUUCUAAAAUUAAUUUUUAGCUUUCCAAUUUCUAACAUCAUUAUCUUAGCUAGGUUUGCUCCUUCUAAGCAUACAUGGUGACAAGCAUUUAGUUCAAUCAACAAAUUGUCUCAUGUAACCUCAUUUCACUUCUUACUCGAUGUAGUACAAGGGGUCAAGCAGUCUCAUUAGCUGCGAGAAGCAGACGAUUCGAAUCGAGUUUUAUCCUUGCAAGGUAAACCUAAACACACAACAUGUCAGGGUACUCCGACCCCACACAUGUCAACCGUCCCCAUCGAUUCCCCGUUCGCGUCCAGGCCUCACCGCCUUGGCAUACAAUGUUCCACUGACCCCGGCUGCCGCCGUGCAGUGACCGCACUUGUACCCACCAUAGCUAGCAUGGGAGACCCAGUCUCAGGUCGUAUGAGGGAUAAAGUCCGCGCCCGGCUUCACUCAGGUACUAGGUUUAUCGGUUACCAUUUUUCCCGACAUGUUCUUAGUAUGUUCAAACGCUUGACUCAGGUAUCCACACAUUAAUCCUUAAUUCCUUUUUCCCGUCUCAUGGUCAAGGCAUCCUCCCUGGAUCCAAGUCCAUAGACUAACAUAGAUCCCGUUAUCAAGAUGAAUACAAUCAAUUCCUGACCUCGCGCGAGUGCUAGGAAAAUCACUCGACUUCUACCGAGAUCCUGAUUAGCAAGCAGCUACUCGACCUAGAAUACUAGUAUUCGUCUAAAAAAGGAAUCCUAAGUUCAUGCAACUAGAGGUUUCAAGCAACUCCUACACUUAAGUGCACAUUACAAUACUACAAGCAUCUAAUGAAUGCAAUGCGUAAGAUAUAUGCAUGAUACGAUAUGAUAUGGGCUUUAGUAAUUUCAACUUUUGAUGGUGUAUGAUCUACUUGAGUUAGAUAGAGUUAAACCUUACUUAUGUGAUACUUUUGGGUGGUAUACUUGGUAAAUUGGAUCAACCUUAGCUAAGUUAAGUGGUAGGUUUAUUUUUGGUGUUCCACUGAAUUCUUUUUAAGGUCUUUAGUGAGAAUUGCCUAGAAUUCAUGUUGGACUUAUUGGAGUGAGGUUUAUUUCUCCCUUCUUUUUCUUUAUUCUCUUUAAGUUUUUGGAGUGGGUUUGAACUACAAGUUACCUCAAUAAAUUCCCAAAAAUUCUGUAAAAGUUACAGUGGCUUAUUAUUAGUGUAUAAUUCUUUGUCUCAAAAUUUGGGGUUCAAAAAGUGAAUAGUUCUCUCUGGAAAAAAAUACCAAAUUUUAGGGCAGAAGGGGUGAUUUGAACUACAACUAUCAUUUAAUAGUAGGUAACUCUCUUAGACUUAUUUUUGCUGGUAUUUAGAUGCUAUAGCAUGUCUUGGUACAAAAUUCUAGCCAGUAAUACUUAUUAGUUAUUUUACUAGGAUUUUCUAAAGUUUCUAGCAAAAGGGGUGCUUUCUACUAUCACUAUAUUUGAAAAAUAUCAAACAACAGAUUUCUGAUUUUUCCUAGCUUCUAUUUUGCGCAAGAGCAAUCAUUCUGAAGUUUGGCAUCUUUUUGCUUAAGGAAAUGGGUGGUAUGCAUUAAUUGGAUUAAAUGGCCUUUCUUAUAAAAUAUUGGCAAUAGGUAAUAUUUUGCAUCUUUCAAAUGGGUUUGUAUUUUUUUCUAGUGGCCUAUCUCAUUAUUGACCUAGCAAAAUUUUAUUUGCCCAUUAUUGCAUUAUUAUGGGUUAUUCAUGAGUUAUUUGGAAUAUGACUCAUCAUCAUAUUAUAUUUAUUUACCCUACUUAAAAUGAUGGGCUGCGGUGUUUAUUAUUUUUACAGUGGGGUUUUGGUGGUUACAAGUCCACUGGAUUUUUAUUAUCAAUUUUGGGUCUGGUUUUGUAAUUCUAAUAAUUGAUUUCUAGUUGGAAUAAUGCUAAAUAAAACAUUUCACUUUAAAACUGAUCUGGACUAUAGGUCCCUUUAUUUUUCCUAGGUUCUCUGUUACUUAAGCAAACUAGGAAAAAUAAUUUCAUCCACUGGUCAUUAAUUUCUAAGGCCUUUAUGAUUUUCCUAAGGUUUGAGCAGAAAUGGCUUUUAAUAGAUACUCCCUCCGUUUCUUUUUAUUUGUCGCUGAAUAGUGCAAUUUUGCACUAUCCAGCGACAAAUAAAAAGAAACGGAGGGAGUAUCUACACUAAAUUUUUCAAUACUGGGGUUCUCACUAUUUUAAAACAGUGCUUAAAUGAGGUUUGAACAUCUACAAAUUUUCUUAGGUUCAGCACAGAAACAUAACUAAUUUUCCUUAAUUAAACAAGGCUUGGUCAGUUUCUGUAUUUAAUUUUAAACUCUAAAAAUUAGAACAGAAAGCAUAGGGUUCAGUAUUUUUAAUUGGUAUUUCAUAAUAUUUAGAAUUUACCAAAAUUGGUUUGACAACUUUUGGUUAAGUAUUCAUCAAGUUAUGAAUUUUCUAAGUUCUCUGUUUAUUAAAAAGAUUAAACAGAAAUGAUUAAAUGGAAAACUACUUUGCAACGGGGUCCCUGGCGGGUGUUUUAAGUUUUCCUUACAGACUAGUCCCUGGGCUACUAUUCAGAUGCGUCACUGACAUCUUAGAAAACCCCCUGGAUUCUUCUAAUCCUAACCCGAGGUCCUUCCCCCAAAUUAAACAUUACCCGCGGCGGAAGAAAGGGCGGAGGGGCUUACCGGCGGCGAGAUUGCUCCGGUGAGGUGGCCGAGGGUGUGGGGGAGGUCCUUAGGGUCACGGCGAUGUGCGGGUCGCCGUCGGGGAUGGUCGGAGUCGGCCGGUCCGUGUGCGCAAGUGGGGGAGCUCGUCGGCGGUGAGGAGUCCGGCCUAUCCAGGGCGAAAUUGAUCAAUCAAACUGGUCAGAGAGCUUCACUGGAUGCUAGGGAAGACAUGGGUGCGAGGAAUUUGACAAUGGCUUACCAGAGAGCUCGGUCCACGCGCGGGGUCGGUGGCGCGACGUGCUCGAGGUGAUUUCCGGUGAUCUCUGACUUGGGCAAGUCUGGAGAGCACGCGGGGAUGAAUGGCCGAGGCUUGGGGCGGCUUUAUAGGCACGGUACGGUGCACGGGCGGUCGUGGACCGGCGAGCGCGCGUGGGCAUGCACUGGGAGGCGUGGGUGCGCGAACGGGCGUGAACCGGAGGUGUCAGCCACGGUCGAACACGUGUGCUCGUUGCCUCUGCCCAAGUUCAAGCGCUGGUUGGGUGCAAAUCUUCGCGAAUUUUGGCAAGAUCGCUGUGAAGGAUUUGUUCAUCUGACCUUGCUUUGUCUUUUGUGUAUGGACGUCGCACGGGUUUAGGCUAAGGACAAGGAGUUGUAGCAUCACCAAGGUGCCAAUGUCAGAAUGUCUGGUCCCGAGGUCAAUCUGCGCCAAAACUAUGUCAAACGAAUUUGGUUUGAGUUCAAACUUUUCUAGGGCGUGUUCAAGGGAAUUUGGUACAACUUUGAUAUUUGGAUCUCCUGGUUUCGAAUUUCAAAAAACAGAGAACGCAGUUGAUCUUUGAAAAGAGGUCAGAAAUUCAGAAAUCUGAAUUUCUCCAAGGGUUCAUGGUUGAAGGGCUGAUUUGGGAAUUUUUAAAAAACCAAAUGGCCAAACCCUCUUACUAUGGUUUGUUAGUUAUUUGAUGAACUAAAACUUUGUAAUUUGAUCAUAUCUAAAAUUUUUCAUUUUCCCCCAUGACUUCUCCCAAUUACCCUUUAUGCUUAACUUGGCUUACUUAGGGUUUAUUAGGGUUUGAGGGUCUUUCUCUCUCAAAGUUCAUAACAAGAUUAAGGAGAGUUUAAGAAGAUUCAUUAUAAACCUUUGUUCUGAAUUUUCUUUUGAUGUUCACCCUUUUACUGAAUUUACAUGUGUUAAUAGGUUGGAUUAGCUUAGGAAAGAACCCUAGGUGACACUGGGGUGUCACAGCCUUCCCCCUUUAAAGGAAUCUCGUCCUGAGAUUCGGGUCAGAGUCCUCCUGGGGUGAAGCGAAGGGUGAGACUUAUUGGAAGUGGGUGCUCUUAUUAUUAGGGCAAUUUGCUCUUCGAAUGUCAUUCUCUUUGCGACUUCAGAAGGAAGUCCUUUUUAAAUUUUGUUUCAUGCUUACUUCAUUCUGAUUUAAGAUCAUAUUUUUGAAAUUUAGAUUCGAAGGGCAGGAGGAGGGGUUGGGUGUGAUUACGUACCAGUUUCCUUAGGUAGGCAAUCGGGGAAGUUGGAUCUCAAGAAUUCCUCAGUCUCCCAAGUAGCUUCUUCCUCUGAGUGAUUACUCCACUGGACCUUGUACAUCUUGAUCGAUUUAGCCCGAGUUGAUCUUUCUUUGCAAUCCAAAAUCUUGGAGGGGUACUCUUGGUACGAUAGAUCUGGUUCUAUCUCCAAUUCUGGUUCUGCUAUGAUCUCGGUCGGCAAUCGAACACACUUCUUUAGCUGAGAUACAUGGAACACACUGUGAAUGGCAGACAGUUUUGAAGGUAGCUUCAGCUGAUAUGCCAUGGGUCCACAUGCUUCUAUGAUCUCAUAAGGUCCAAUGUAAUGAGGGGCUAGCUUGCCUUUGAUUCCAAACCUCUGCACUCCCUGGGUGGGUGAUACCUUGAGGUAUACGAAAUCUCCCACCUUGAACUGGAGAGGUUUCCUUCUUUUAUCAUGGUAACUCUUCUGCCUGGCCUAAGCAGCUUCUAGAUUCUUCCUGAUUAGUUUGACCUUCCUUUCGGCUUCAGUCACUAAGUCAGGUCCAAAAACUCCUCUUUCUCCAGGUUGAGACCAAUUGAGUGGUGUCCUACACCUUCUUCCAUAGAGAGCUUCGAAAGGUGCCAUCCUUAGGCUGGAUUGAUAACUGUUGUUAUAAGCAAACUCUGCCAAGGAUAGGUGCUUAUCCCAGUUCUUGCCACAAUCAAUUGCACAAGCUCUCAGCAUAUCCUCCAGAAUUUGGUUUACCCUUUCAGUCUGACCAUCAGUCUGUGGGUGGUAAGCUGAACUUCUGAUUAGCUUGGAUCCCAAAGACUCCUGCAGUUGUUCCCAAAAUCUGGCAACAAAUUGGGCUCCUCGGUCAAAAACAAUGGUCCGAGGUAAUCCGUGCAAACACACGAUCCGGUCAAUGUACAACUCUUCAUACUUUUGAUCCUUAUCAGUGGUGUGCACAGGGAGAAAAUGUGCCACUUUCGUCAGUCGGUCCACAGUAACCCAAAUCAAAUCAUGAUGACGAGAGGUGUUGGGCAGACCCACGAUGAAAUCCAUGCUGAUGUCAUCCCAUUUCCACGAAGGUAUAGAUAGGGAUUGCAAAGCUCCAACUGAUUUCAAGUGGCUUGCUUUAUCCUCUAACAGGUGUCACAUUCCGAUACAUACUGGGCUAUCUCCCUUUUCAUUCUGGUCCACCAAUACAAAGGCUUCAGAUCAUGGUACAUUUUGGUGCUUCCCGGAUGCAUAGAGAAUUUGGAGAGAUGAGCCUCGUCCAAGAUUUUCCUCUUGAGGUCCUUGUUUUUAGGAAUCACCAAUCUGCUUUUGAACCAUAAUACACCCUUUUCAUCUUGGUGGAAACAUUUAUACUUCUCAACCUUCUGAUGGAGAUUCUUCUUGAUAAUCUGUACUCCCUUGUCACUGAGCUGGGCCAUGAUGAUCUAGUCUUGCAAAGCUGGCUCGACAGAAAUGUGAGACAGAGCACCAAAAGGACUCACUUCUAUUUGCAUCUUGCUCAACUCAUCAGACAAGGUGUUGAUGCGAGAAUCCAUCAGAAUACAAUUGCAUUGCAACUUCUGACUCAAGGCAUCUGCUACCACAUUGGCUUUUCCUGGGUGAUAAUGUACCUCCAGGUCAUAAUCCUUGAUCAGCUCUAGCCAUCUUCUCUGCCUCAUGUUGAGAUCAGCCUGAGUAAAGAUGUACUUAAGGCUCUUAUGAUUAGUGAAGAUGUUGCAGUGGGUUCCCAUUAAAUAGUGCCUCCACAUUUUUAAUGCAUGAACCAUUGCUGCCAACUCGAGGUCAUGAGUGGGAUAAUUUUUCUCAUGAGGCCUGAGUGCUCUUGAGGCAUAAGCAAUGACUCGGUUGUCUUGCAUUAAGAUACAACCUAGUCCCGUGCUAGAGGCAUCACAAUAUACAUCAAAAGGCUUGCUGUUGUCGGGUUGCGCUAACACUGGUGCUGUGGUCAGAUGCUGCCUUAAUGCAUGGAAGGCAUCUUCGCACUUCUGACUCCAAACAAACUUGGCUUCUUUCUUCAGCAACUCAGUUAUAGGCUUCACAAUUCGAGAGAAAUUCGGAAUAAAUCUUCGAUAAUAACCAGCUAAUCCCAGAAAACUCCGAAUCUGACGGACAGUCGUUGGUGGCUUCCAGUUCAUCACCUCUUGCACCUUAUCAGGAUCAACAGCUAUUCCGGCCUGAGAGAUAAUGUGACCCAAGAAUUUGCCAAAAAUCACAUUUUGAUAACUUGGCAUAAAGGUGGUGCUCUCGCAGACGUUGAAGCACUACAUGCAAAUGCCCGACAUGUUCUUCUUCGUUUUUCGAGUACACCAAGAUAUCAUUGAUGAAAACCACUACGAAUUUGUCCAAUUCAGGCAUGAAAACAGAAUUCAUCAGAUACAUGAAAUAUGCUGGUGCAUUAGUCAGCCCGAAAGACAUCACCAAGAAUUCAUAUAGCCCAUAUCUGGUUGAGAAUGUCGUCUUCGGAAUAUCGCUUGCUCGUAUCUUGAUCUGAUGGUAGCCGGAGCGAAGGUCUAUCUUUGAAAACACCUUGGCCCCCGACCAACUGGUCAAAAAGAACAUCAAUACGAGGCAACAGAUACUUGUUCUUGAUAGUUACCGCAUUAAGAGGGCGGUAAUCUAUACACAGCCUCAAGCUUUCAUCCUUCUUCUUCACAAACAGUGCUGGACAUCCCCAAGGCAAAGUACUUGGGCGAAUAAAUCCCUUAUCCAGCAACUCCUGCAAUUGCUUCUUCAAUUCUGCCAACUCAGCGGGUGGCAUUCGGUAAGGCCUCUUAGAAAUUGGUGUCGUUCCUGGUUGCAACUCGAUGGCAAAUUCAAUAUCCCGGUCUGGUGGCAUUCCUGGCAAUUCAUCAGGAAAUACAUCUGCAUACUCGCAGAACAUUGGGAUCUUCUUCUGAGGUAACUCCGUCAUAGAGAAAGCACAUGACUGAGUAGAACCUUGACUAGGCAGAAUUAAGGUGAAGUUCCCACAGAACGGAGAAUUAAUUUCCACGGUACGGCUGGCUACAUCAAGCACAACUUGGUGCAAGGUCAUCCAAUUGGCUCUCAGAAUAAUGUCCACAUUUUCCAAACCCAAAACAAGAAGGGUGGUUUUGACAAUGUGGCUUCCCAGUUGAAUAGGCACACUUUGGUUUAAUUGAUUAGUUGAAAUUUUACCCCCAGGUGUGACUAUCAUAAAUGACCCUUUUGAGUGAGAAAAUGGAAGUUCACAUUUAGCACUGAACUUUUGGCUAAUGAAACUAUGAGAUGCACCAGAAUCAAACAGAAUUAAAGCAGGUUGAUUAUAAACUGAAAAGAUAUCGGUCAUGAUAGGAGCUCCCUCAGGUACUUCCUCCAGAUUAGUGAAGUUGAGCUUCCCUUGCCUGACUUGUACCUUCUGCUUUCUUCCCUUGUCUUGAUUUGGUGCUGGCAUCUGCCUCUGUUGGUUCCUCGGACAAUUCUUGGCAUAGUGGCCCACAUUGCUGCAAGUGAAACACUUGUUCCCAUUGCCCUGGCGGAACUGCUGCUGCUGCGGAGGCUGAUUGUUCCUUGGAGCGGGAGCUGGAAAGCGGUUGGGUGCCGGCUGCUGCUGCUGAGGUGGCCUGAUCACCCAUCUGUCUGCCUGCUGCUGGAAACCCCUGCUCUGAUUGUGAGAAACAAUCCGGAACCUCUAGGCCUGAGCAGAUGGUGCUACCAUUGGUGCCUUUCUCUUCUUCUCUGCCCGGUGAGCUACAAUGCAAUCCUCCUGGGAGAUGGCCAGGUUGACCAACUCAUUGAAGCUAUCAGCCCGGACAGUGUUCAAUCGUUCCCACAUCUUGGUGUUAAGACCCCUGCGGAAGCGGUCUCUCUUCUUCUCAUCAGAAUCAGCAUGGUACCCUGCAUACUGGCAUAGGUCGUUGAAGGCCUGCGCAUACUGCAGUACCGUGCGGGUUCCUUGAUUGAGUGCCAGAAACUCAUUCAGCUUGCGAUCAAGAAUGUCGGCUGGGAUGUGGUGUCCUCUGAAAGCAGUCUUGAAUUCCUCCCAAGACAUGUCACGAUCAGCGGGGAGCAUAGCACGGAAGUGGUCCCACCAAGUCCGAGCAGGGCCGCGAAGCUGCUGCGCGGCAAAGCGAGCCUUGGCAUCAUCGGGGCAGUCUCCCGUGAGGAGGGGAAACUUGGACUCAACGACGUGGAGCCACACAUCAGCGUCCAAUGGAUCCUCUGCCUUGGUGAACAAGAUUGGAUGCAUACUCAGGAACUCCUGGUAGGUUGCCGCUGCCGGAGGUCGCUGAUGCUGGCCUCCACCAUGCUGCUGAGGGUGGGGCUGGCGCUGCAAGAGCUGUCGCAGAAUCUCGUUCUGCUGGGCCAUCAGCUCCUGCACUGUGGGAGCUGGAGGAGGUGGCGGGGGAACCUGCUCGUUAUGCCGCGACACUGCCUAGCUGCCAUCUGAAAACUGAAAUAUGAAAUUAGGGCUAAAUCUGUGAUUAAAUAAAAGUCCAGGGGUCUCAUUGAAACAAACCAGGGACCUAUGCGCUAAAACAGAGGACGGCGGGUUGAUUUUCUAAAACCAGGUGGUUUCUUAAGCAAAAUAGCCACGCGAAAGGGUAUCGGGUGAAUCCAAUCGUCAGAUCUACAACCAACGACUGAGAUUAGAUCUGCGGCCGAGGGCGCGCGCGCGGGCGGGCGAGCACUGACAAGCGGGUCAGGGGCAUCAGCGGCAGAGGGGGAGGGCGCACUGACCGAGUGGGCCCAGUGCUAGAGGAUGUGGGCGCUAACAGGCGGGCCAGGGAGUCAGGGCGCGAGGGCGCGAAGCAGUAUCCUAGGGUCCGGGUUGUUCGAUCAAGAUCGGACGGAGGGGGUCCGAGGGGGUCCGAGCCGUUUGAUUAAGAUCGGACGGGGGAAAAUCAGACCGGGAAGGAUGAGUGGCCACGGGUGGCACUAACAGGCGGGUCAGGGCGUCAGGUGCGUGUGCGCGAAGCGGUACCCGCGGUCUGGGCCGUGCGAUCAGGAUCGGAUGGAGGGGAAUCAGAUCGGGGAAACAGACGUGCGUGAAGCGGCACCGCUCCUCUUCGCGGCGGUGAGGUCACCGGAGUUGAGGCAGGCGCGAGCUAGGGUUGCUCCGGGGUCGCCGGAGUUGGGCAGAGAGGGAGAGGGCGCCACGACGAACUUAAUGGCUGGGAGGAGGCCAUGAAUCCAUGGGCAGAGAGGGUAGAACGGUGGUGAGAAGGCCUCGGGCGGGCCGGAGCAACUCCGGUGAGCCAUUCCGGCCACGGGGAGGGGACUUAAGGCACGCUAAGGCCUGGGCUAGCUUCAGCAGAGGUAGGGGUGACACAAGGACCUACUCCGGGGAACUAGACCGGGCUAAAUCGGCUGGCCACCGCGCGAGCACGGCAGACCGCCGCGAUCGAGCAUCGGCGAAGGCGAAAUUGGACGAACAUAGGACGCAAUAAGGGAAAUUGGGCACGGGGACGUGUGUCUCACCUCGGGGCGGAGCUCGGAGAGGCUUGGAGCGGUCUCCGGCGAGCUGGAUGGCCAGGAAUGCGAGCGCGGGUCUCAGGCGGUGGCUGGCGGCAUGGGCAGAGCGCGAGAGAGGGCGAAGCUGAGCGAAAUGAGGUGAGGGGUGUGCGCGGGGCACUGGCGGGGCUCUAAAAAGGGAGCUGGGCGCGUGGGCGGGCGUCGUGGCCGAGAAAUCCGGUGACGUGCGUGAGUGCGCACGCGCCGGUCCACGGCGAGCACGGAAGGGGCGGAACUGACAGGGAGGGUCCACGGCGCAGAGAGAGAGAGAGAGGAAAGGGCACGCAGGGCAAUGGCUCGGCGACUAGCGAUUCGAGCCCGCGAGACAUAGAGAGAGAGGGAGUGCGCGGGCGAAUAACUGGCGCCGACAGGCUGGGUCCGCCUGUUAGGGGCGGCAGGCAUGCGCGCGGGACUGGGUCUCGUGGGCUGGUUUGGGCCGAAAUGACUUUUUUCUUUUUCCCUGGAUUUUCUAAUUCCUUUUAUAUUUCUCUUUCCAUAGGGUUUUCAAAUCCAAAUUCAAACUAGGUUUCAAAUUCAAACUUGUGCAACACUUCAAAGAAUAUUUUAAACUCAGCAUGAUGCAACAUGUCAUGACUCAUAAGGUUUUGGCAAAAAAUAAAUAAUUAACCUCCACUAGUUUAGGCUAUCUCUAAUCAAAAAGGAAGAAGGCAGAAUGAGUCUAGAGAGAGAAAACCUAGAGUGAGAAAAAGAAGAGUAACACAUGAUUUUUGGUGAUAAUUAUAAAGAAAUUUUAUACCCCCAAAAUCAGGGUGUUAAACUGUGUGUUCCAGAAGAGCAGUUGCCAGUGGAAGGUCUGGAGGUCCAGGAGGACUUGACCAACAUAGAGAAGCUAGUGUAGAUUCUUGAGACUGCAGACAGAGUCACCCGGAGGAAAACAAUCAGAAUGUGCAAGGUUAGAUGGGAUCACCACUCUGAGGAAGAGGCAACAUGGGAGCGUGAAGAUGAUCUGAUGACCUUACCCUGAACUCUUUGCUAGCCAACCUUGAAUCUCGAGGGCGAGAUUCUUUUAAGGGGGAUAGGUUUGUAACGCCCUAAAUUUGGGGGUAGAAUUUUUUUCUUCUUUUUACUCACCAAAUUCAGGCGUUACUCUCUUUUCUCUUCCCGUUUCGCUCCUUCCCAAUUUCAAAGCGGUGUAGCGACUGGUGUCUGUAUUACAUGUAAACAAAAACCUAAGUUGUCAUGGGUGUUGCAUCAUGCCGAAGCAUAUUUCUUUUGUCUGAUGUCGUGUUUAACCGCGUGUUCGUCUCGUCUCGUUUCAGAUUUUGGUUCGCGAUUGGAGUCCGAUCUGUGGUAGCGUGUGUUGUGGGCUUUUGUCCCGGCCCGCGACCCAGCCCUGCCCAGUUCGGCCCGGCCCGGUCCGGCGCGCCCCUGGCGCCCGUGCCUCCCCCAUGCGCCCCUCCCUUCUCUCCCUUUCUCUCAUUUGAUUUUCCCAUGCAGCAAUCUCCUCUCCUCCACCUCUCUCUCUCCCCGUGGUACCCUAGGUUUUGGAGACGGUGAUCGCUGGAUUUAGCCCCCCGAGGUGAGCUCCCCUCUCCCUCUCCUUGUCUCUCUUCCCAUCCCCUUCUUCUCCCCAAGGCGUGGCCCCCUCCCCCAGCCCCCUAGUGUGCGGCGGCGCCCCUCCCCUGGCCCCCGGCGCGCGGCGCGGCCCCAUCCCCCGGCCCCCUGGCGCGCGGCGGCGGCCCUCCCCUGGCCCACAACGCGCGGCGGCGCCCCUCCCCUGGCCCCCAGCGCGUGGUGGUGCCCCUCCCCUGUCUCCUAGCGCGCGGCACAACCCCUCCCCCUGUUCCCCUCGCGCGGCGCGGCCCCGCCCGGCCCUGCGCGGCGACACAGCCCCUUGGGCGCGGCUCCCUGGCGCCCCUGCACGUGGCCUCAACUUCCAGCGUGGCCCCCGGCACGCGACCCCUGCCCCGGACAGCGUGGUCCCCAGCACGGCCCCUGCCCGGCGCGCGGCCCCUCGCAGCUUGCCCAGCGUGUUCCCGCGCGUGCAGCCCUAGCGCGCGUGGCGAUCGAAUCUCGGCUUAAUUAGUUUUUAAAUUUAGUUUAAUGAACGUGAUGCGUCGCGUGGAAAUUAGUUGAUUUCAGAUUCUAUUGACGUGUUGCGUCGCGCGACGAUUCAUCCUAAUUUCAGAUUAUUUAAUGUGUGGCGUCACGCGAUGUUUCAUUUUAAAUUCAGUUUAGAUGGCGUAUGCCAUCGUGCUUUUUGUCGCGCGACGCUUAACGUCUCUUUAUAAUUAAUGCAAGUGUCUCGUUACGCUCCGUCGCGCGACGAGUCGUUUAUUUCUUAAUUCAAUUUAAAUGUUGUGUCGCGCGUUUCGCCUCGCGACAAUCCUUUUAAUUUACCUUUAUCUGUUCAUAAUAAUUAAACAUGGAACAUUACUUUACCCUAUGCUAAACGCGAUGGCUAAAGUAAUACCGUUCUGUUUAGAUGAGUAUUUUAAUUUAUAAUCGUGUGACGUGAUCGCUCGUUGGUCGUAGCCUCGACCGUUACUUUCCCUUCCUCACUUAGUCGUAGGUGUGAGCCCUGCGUCGAACGUCUGUUUAUUUAAUAUAUUCUAUUGUUUGGUGUACUGUUCUUUUGUAUUAAAUUUGUGGAUUGUAUGUUUGAAACUCGUAUAGAUAACGGUCAGUUGGUGGAGUCCAAAGGAGUUGCAGGUGAAGACCCUAAGCAGCAGUCGGUUGGUGAAGGCAAGUGUCCCUUGACCCAUCUAUGUCCUACUCAUUCUUAUAAUUCAUUCCCCGCAUUUACACAGUUUAUACCUAAGGAUUGACUAGCUUUUGUUUAUCUUGUCCUUGUUUACCUAUUCUGGUUGGGUUAUUCUAGUUUAGCUAUAUGCUAGUGCUUCACAUUAAUCAAUGAACAUGAUGAGAUUAUCUAUGAUACACUGUUUUCCCUUUUGAUUAUGAUGAUGGUACUUGUGGCAUUUAAGGGGGCUCGAGCUGCUUCUUGAGUAACUCUCCGUAAGGACUGGUUCGGUGGAUGACCGCCCGGGAAAACAGUGCAACCAUGAGGGUGGAGUGGGACGCGCUUAGCUGAGUAAUUAGAGGAACUCGGGUGUAGUUCGCUUCGCCGUCGUGCCGUUAAUGGGGCUCGGUGUAUGAGGCUCGCUCUGCCAAGGUUGGUUCGCCCCUUAGGGAGGAGUGCGAUGCAUUUAGGAAACCUAACGGGCAGCUACAGCCCCAGGAAAUCUUUGUAAAGGCUACAUAGUGAGACCCUGCCUAUUCACCUUGGUAGUGUUUAAGGAUUUGAUCGGCCCGAGGCAAGAGGGAAUCAUGGCUUGUGGGUAAAGUGCGCAACCUCUGCAGAGUGUUAUGAAACUGAUAUAUCAGUCGUGCUCGCGGUUAUGAGCGGCCAAGGGAGCUCCAUUGAUUAGAGAUACUUGAUCAGAGAUGUAUGGUUUACCGGUGGUGAUGAGGAUGAUGGUUUUGGUUAUGACUAUGGUAAUGGUAAGUGGUAUUCUUUCCGUUUGGAAAGGGUACAUUGGGUUAAUAACUUGGGUUAAUACUAAAACCUGGCUUUCUACUAGUAAUAAUAACCUGACCAACUAAAAGCAACUGCUUGGCUUAACUCCACAUAAAGCUAGUCCAUUACAGCCAAACGGGACAUUUUGCUGAGUAUGUUGAUGUGUACUCACCCUUGCUUUACACACCAACCCCCCCCCCCCCAGGUUGUCCGCAUUGCAACCACUGCUCAGGUGAAGAUGAAGUCGGGGAGGAGGACUUCCAGGAGUUCCAAGAGUACGAUGAGUUCUAGGCGUGGGUUAGCGGCAAACCCCCAGUCGGCUGCCUGUGCAGGCCGUGUGUAUCUACGUUUCUUUUCCGCACUUUGAUUAUUGUUAAAGACUAUGUGGAUGUCUCGGACAUCAUGAUGUAAUCGACUAUUAUACCCUCUUUUAUGGCAUUAUUUUAGCACUGUGUGAUGAUGUCCAGUUAUGUAACUUUUGUGUACGUGAAUUGCUGAUCCUGGCACGUACAUGGUUCACAUUCGGUUUGCCUUCUAAAACCGGGUGUGACAGUUAGAUGCGUGACUACCUAGCGGAGCUCACUGGGGCGGUAGUUUAUAGGUUUCAUCGGUGGUGACGUCCAAUUUUGUGAUGGCGUGCUGGCGGCCGGAGAGAGGGGAGGUCACUAGCGCGAGUGAUUCGUGGCUUUCACCGCGGCAUGACCACCGGCGUUGAACGGACAUGCUAAGGCGAUUCACUGCGACGUGGUAGAGCACCUAGGCACGUGGCAUCCGAGCGGCAGGCGGCCAACUCUGACGAGGUUAUCUGGACCGGCAGUAAGGCAAGUGGGUAUGACGACUAGGGCGAAACAUUGUCCCAAGCUCAUCCCCAGUGCUAGAUUUUUCAUCCGAUGAUCGUUAUUUGUGUUUAACUGGGCAUGAAUCGCGACGCCGUAGUGAAUCCGGGCGCGAGAUCACCGACGACGGGGGGGCUGAACCUGAGAUCUUAUUCAGUUUACUGUACUAUCAGACUUUCAUCAGAGCGUCUGACAGACUGAUUUGCAGGGCCCAGAUCUCAGUUUUUUAUGUAGUAAUGACUUAAUCCAUCUGUAUCAAAGUUGUAGCUCUAUAAACCAGCUACAAUUCGGCUAUAGAGACCUUGCUCAUUUACUUACUCCCUUGAGCUUGAAUCGAGUCCAAAGUUCAUCAGAACUCACUGUCAGACCAGUAUCAGACUGUAUGGAUGAUUGACAGCAAUACUUUGAGUCCAUUUAACUCCAAUUUUUGUACAACACUCAUGUCUUGUUAUUUAAACAAAGUUAUGCUCCUUUAGUAGCUCUACAAAUUUGAUGUGUUGACCCUAAGCAAAUUCCUUGUAGGUUUAGAAAUAUAGAGCUCCAAAGUCAGCCCUAUUCAACUGAAUUCAGACUUAAGCACAUGGAGUUCAUGGGGUACUUUUUGCAAAUAAGUCCAAAUUCCACUAUUUAGCUUGCAAAUUCUCAAAUGUGAAAAACACAUGAUUUGUGGUGUUCUAUCACUUUGGUAUUUGCACUUUGGUCCAAAAGUGCACAAAAUUUACAUCUACCCCCUUAGGGUUUCAAUUAGGGUUUUCUAGGGUUUCUUUUAGGGCUUUGAGUACUUUAGGGUUUUUGUGUCACUAGAGUCUAUCAAAGGUGAUAUCUUAUGAUCAUUUCUCAUGUCUUUUGUGGUUUUAACUUAUUUGGGCUUCACUUUCACCCAUAAGCCCUAAUUUAGGGUUAAGCACUCUACCCUAGGGUUAAUCACACAUCAAGUCACAUCAUUACAACUUGUUUGAAAUUUUUACCUAGUGAAUGCACUCUAGGUGUAACAAACACAUGAUAUGCCAAUGCUCAUGAUGUUAUGCUCAAGUUUUAGUGACAGUAACACCAGGGGUGUUACAGAUGCCUUCGGCACCUGGCCAAAACGUAGGCUGAACCGGGUGAUGGACGGAUUAAACUUUGAAUAUCCGGAUUACGAAAGGCUUGACAAAGGGGCCGAAGGGGUGAAAAGGAAGAGGAUUGUCUGCAUCCUGAGUAGGCAAGCUGAAGAUGAGAAAAUUUUGAAGAAAACAAAGACAGCUCCUGAGCCGAAAGCGACAUACUAUAAAAAGCGAAAGCUUGACAUAACACCCUCUGUUGAGCCGAAGGUGGAUGAGACAGGAGAAAAAGCUCCUUCAACGCCAUCUGCUGCCGAAGUAGCAGAAAUUUUAAAGGUAAUGACUGAUUCUCAGCACUUCAAGCUGCUUUUUCCUCUAGGAUUAGAACUGACACAAUUUUUACAGAAGAAAGAACAACCUUCGGCUGGAAAGGAGAAGGUUGAAGGGCAAAAGAAACAACGAAUAGUUAACGUGAUGCAAGCCGUCGAGCGAACACCGCCUUCAGCCUCAGCGGCUAAAAUAGUGACUGCUGCGAGUGCCGAAGCGGAUGCUGCUGCCGAAGUCAAAAACAGUGAUGAAGCCGAAACAACAAUGUCAGAUAUUGAUACGCUCAUAUCAGAUGUGGUUAAAGAUGUGGCUGUAGAGGAAGAAAUGGUCGCAGCACCAAACAAAGAAUGGGGAAUUGAUGCUAGUCCUUCGGGUGAAAAUAUUUCAAUCUUCGGCACCUGGGCGGACAAGAAUUGUCUGAAGAGGACAAGUCAGAGUUGUGGGAAUUUGCUAUAUCUUGCGGAUAUCAACCAGGGGCUUUGCUCUUCGGGGGGGGGCUUGACGAGGAGAUCCUAGGAUGCGUCCGCGACCUUGCCGGGGCAAAGAUAGUCGACACUCUAUCCAAGAGUGUUGGCUUUCCAAAGCUAGAGGGUGAUAUCAGCUACUACCGACGGCAACAUAUUGUCGGUAGCUUAUUUUAUUCCAACUUCAAGGUAAGGCCUUUGACUAGGUUGUUAUUAUUAUCAUCUUCGCGGUGAAUUAAAUGUUCUGACCAUGACUUGUUGCAGAGCAUGCUGCUGAGCAAAGCUUUGAAAAUGUAGCAAGAUAACGAAGAUAAGAAAAACGAGAUUAUAAUUGAAGGCUUGGAGAAUAGGAUAAAGGAUAUUGAAGCUUCUGUUGAAGAGAAAGAUUUUCUGCUGCGAGCAGCGGAAGGCUCCCUUGCGGAUGUACAGUCUCAAAAUACUAAAUUAAGCGAGGAACUUGACAAUGCUCAAACAAUUUUAAAGAAAGAAUCAGAGCGCAUCGAGCAGGAAACAAAAGAACUGCAAGCGAAAGCUGAAGCCGAAGCUGAGAAAAAUACGAAGCUACGAGAGUCAUUGAAAGACCUUCGGAAUAAGUGCACGGAUUUUGCCACCCGUUGUGUGAACCGACUAAAAGGAAUAUUCAACUCGGUUGGAGCUAGUUCUGAAGAAAUUGCUCCUUCGGCUGAAGAUAUCCCCAAAGCCUUCGAGCAUAUUGAGAAUGAAGUUGAAGCACUCGAUGAAGUUAUAACUGGGCACGGGGAUUUCUGUGCUUUGUUAGCUUCUCGUGGCACAACUGCUGCAUUUUUGAAGGCCGGAUGUACUCAUGCCAAAACAGUUAACAAACCAACCUUCAACCUCUCAUCAUCAGACUUAGUUGAUAUUCCUGGUGAAGCCCGUAGCAUUGGAAACAAAUUUAUCACUCAAAUUUGGGCUAAGGGAGGGCGCGAGCUAGCUGGAGACGAAGCUCGGAAACUGCUCAAUUCAGUAUAAAACUUUUACCUUGGUUUUUCUUUAUUACAUUUGCAAUUACCUAAUACCGUCAUCUGUCUGCAGGAUGGUGGCGCCGAAGGUCACUAAGCCAAAGCUUGUUCCGAAGGGCUGAUAACUCUUAGAGCUUCUUUUUGUAAUUAUCUGUAGAAAACUUGGGAUCUCUUUGCAUUAUUUGACGAAAGAUUGUAAUUGAGAGUUGAACACAACAUUGUACAUAUUUGUCCAUACCUUGUGUGAGUUGCUUUGCUGUGGACGAAACCCACACUUACAAUUUUUGAGCCGAAAGCAAAAAAACACCUUCCCUUCUUUUCGUUCACAUCGAAGCAUCUUCGUAUUCAACGAAGCAUUUUGUCACCAAAGACAUGCAUCUUUUUUCUUUCCUGUUAAGGCCUAUGCUUCAUGUCAUGAUAAUGAUGAUCCUACGAAUGUCUAAUGAAUGUUUGUAUGAAUGCAAAGAAUUAUGUGAUGAAAUAUGCAAAUGUAUGACCCAAACACAAAUGAAACCACACCCAGACUCUGCAUCCCCUUAGGAAUGACUUUUGAGUCUCUUCACCUUCUAUUUUGGUGGCAUUUAAGCUCUGCAUCCCCUUAGGAAUGACUUUUGAUCUUCUUCACCUUCUAUUUCAGUGGUAUUUUGGCUCUGCAUUCCCUAAGGAACGACUUUUGAGCUUCGGAACUUACUCUGCGCUCCCUUAGGAACGACUUUUGUAGCUUCAUCACCCUCCAGGUGACACUUUAGCUCUACAUCCCCUUAGAGAUGACUUUUGAGCUUCGAAACUUACUCUGCGCUCCCUUAGGAACGACGUUUGUAGCUUUGUCACCCUCUAGGUGACAUUUUAGCUCUGCAUUCCCUUAGGGACGACUUUUGAGCUUCUCCCUAUUCUUUUUUGCACUCGAUGGUGCAUAUUCUGAUGCUACAUGUUACAUUCUUAGGGGAAUUUGGCCCUUGUAUUUCAUAGGGCUAAACAAGAAAAUUUGAAAAUUACAAACUAUGGCUCCAUUAAAAACCUUUCUCCCCUCUUGAAAGGAAAAGGGUGCCAAAGGAAAAGAAUAAGAAAAUUACAUCAAUUACACAUAAUAUCGACGAAGCUCAUCCGCAUUACAAGACCUGGGUAUGUAGUUGUCGUCCAUGUCCUUCAGUCUGUAAGAACCGGGUAUUAAUGAAGAUACUACCAAAAACGGGCCCUCCCAUUUUAGCUGAAGCUUCCCCACUGUAUUAGGGUUAGCUAUCCUUCGAAGCACCAAAUGACCUAGCUUGAUAUUUUUCAAUCGAACUUUUCUGUCACGCCAUUUUAUUAUUUCGGCCUGGUAUUUGUUGAUGUGCUCUAUGGCCUGAAGUCUGGUCCCUUCUAUAGUGUCUUUUGUUACUUGGCAAUCGACUUCAUCCUCCGUCGAAGCUAAGGUUCUUAGUGAACCCAUUCUUGCUUCUUCCGGUGUUAUUGCUUCGUCACUGAACAAAAGCUUGAAUGGAGAAAACCAUGUUGACCUUGAUGCAGUGGUGUUGUGGCUCCAAACCACUUUUAUUAAUUCGUCUGGCCACUUCCCUUUCGGCUGAUUGAAUUGACUUCAUUAUUCAUGUUAUUAUGAUUCCAUUUGCCCUUUCUACCAACCCAUUUGACUCCGGGUGCCUCAUUGAUGCAAAGUGUAUUUUUGUGCCAAUUUGGCUACAAAAAGUUUUGAAAGUUUUAGCAUCGAAUUGAGUUCCGUUAUCAACGGUAAUAGCCUUCGGUACGCCGAAGCAACAAACUAUGUUCUGCUAGAAGAAUUUUUGCACUGUGGCCGAAGUUAUUGUAGCCAAAGGCUUUGCUUCAAUCCACUUAGAAAAGUAUUCCACUGCCACUACAACAUAUUUUAGGCUGCCUAGCGCUGGUUUUAGUGGCCCUAACAAAUCCAAUCCCCAUCUUUGCAAUGGCCAUGUUGGUUGUAUUAGUUGGGUUAAAGACGAAGGUUGUUUCUCGUCUCUGGCACAUCUUUGGCAAUUUUCACAUUUCUGAACUAAAUUUGCCACAUCCAAAGCUGCCUUCGCUAAGUAAAAACCUUGUCUGAAAACUUUUCCUAGCAGAGGUCUAGACCCAAUGUGGGCUCCACAUAAGCCUACAUGUAUCUCCUUCAUUAAUUCCUGCCCUUCAAUUCUGGACAAGCAUUUGAGCAACAGGGAGCAAACUCCAUGCUUGUAUAACUCCCCUUCUAUUAUUACAUAAGGUCUUCUCCUUGCUUCCUGUAACACACCUGGUGUUAUUGUCACUAAAACUUGAGCAUAACAUCAUGAGCAUUAGCAUAUCAUGUGUUUGUUACACAUAGAGUGCAUUCACUAGUCAAAAAAAUUUCAAACAAGUUGUAUUGAUGUGACUGGUCAUGGGUGAAACCCUAGGGUAGGGUACUUAACCCUAAACUAGGCCUAGGAGUGUCAAUAAAGCCUAAAUGAGAGAAAACUUCAAAACUCAUUAGAAGUGGUCAUAAGAUAUCACCAUUAAUGGAAUUGAGUGGCAUUCAAACCCUAGAAGUGCUAACAACCCUAAAAAGACCCCUUGAAAACCCUGAGUUGAAACCCUAGGGGGUUAUAUGUAAAUUUGGCACACUUUUCGAUCCAAGUGCAAAAACCAAGGUACUAGGGUACCUCCAAUCAUAUGGUUCACAUAUUUGAGGAAUUGCAAAUCAAACCAUGAGAUUUGGGCUUAUUUGCAAAAAGCCACUCUACACCUCUCAUGUGGCUAAGUCUGAAAACCUGUGAACAGGGCUGACUUUGGAGCUCUGUAGUUUUAAAAAUACAAAUAAUUUGCCUAGGGUCAACACAUCAAAGUUAUAGAACUAUCAUAGGAGAAAAAAUUUACUUAAGUAACUAAGCUUUGAUCACAUACAAAGUUUGGGGAAAAAUAAGCUCAAAGUUGUGCGGUCAGUCACUCUGAUAACUGAAUUAAGGUCACCAGUGACAUUGGCCAGACUUGUGGGUCAAAUUGGAGUAGGAGCCAUUGCUAUAGUCAUUUUGUAGCUGGAUCAUAGGGCUACAAGUUUGCUACAAAUGAAUUAGCAAGUUCUUCUACGAAAAUCCAAGAUCUGGGCACUACAAAUUUGUUUGUCAAACUGACUGAAUGAGGAUCCAAUGGUACAGUGCACUGAAAUAUCCCAAUCCACUGAACCUCACCGCCGACGAGCCGUGCGCUCGGAUUCGCGCUCGCCGCGGUGAUUCGUGCCCAAUGUAGAUGGAUAACGGCGAAGGGCUAAGAAAUAUCACACCGUGGAUAAACUCCGGUCGCCGUACCCGCCUGAGACAUGGCCUCUUCGGAUAGACACACCGGAGUUAGCCAUCUUGCGACCUUGCGCCACGUGCCUUGGAGCUUUAACCACGCCGCCGUGAGUCACCUUAGCCCACCCGAUCAUCGUCGGUGAGCUCGCCACGGUAAACGCCACCAAUUGCUUGUGCUAGUGCACCCCCUUCUCUCCGGCCGCCACCGCGCGAUCUCAAAUUCACGAGGCACCGCUCAAGGGACCUAUAAAUUGAGCACGCCCUCAGCUCCGCUAUGUAAUUGUGCACUCAACACACCCACUCGUGCCUCCAAUUACUCACCAGAGCCCCCGAAUUGCUGAGUUCCCCCAAAUCAGUUUUCCACCGCCGUGAACAAGCUCUCACCGUGGCCAGUGCACUCCAGGUCCGAUCUUGUCCUCUGCUCUCUUGUUUCAGCACCCUUACAUGCACCUGAUGCUUCUCGACCCGACCGAUUAGGCUAGAACCCCUUAGAUCAUCGGGAACACUUCAUGAUGUGCAUUGUGCCCGCUGUCACCGUGGACAGGAUGAUUUAGAGCUCAAAUCUAACAAUUAAGUGAGGGGAAAUGAUCGCGUAGGGUUGAAUUCGGUGUCCAGCAAAGGGGAGGGAUAGUCGUUGUUCUUUCUGGCCGGUACAAGUUCGCCAGAGCUCGGUUCAUCGCCGUUUGCUGUCGAGGACCGCGGGUUGUGAAGAAUUAGAAUGUGGAGGGUUUCGGUGUAAAUGUCAGUGACCCAUUUCAAUAGUGCGUAGGGUUCUUCACUAGUUAUUCAAAUCCCUGGGGACCUCGGUGCAAACUAUCCACCGCGGGCGCGCGCAGCCGCGUUUCCCCUGUUCUCGGGCUGACUUGGGCCAGUUUCGGCCCAAUACUAUUCAUGCUUUUUCCUUCUCUUUUUCUUCCAGGGUUAAAGAAUUCAUAGAAAAUUGUAGAAAAAUGCUAAAAAUACUAGACCAAUUUUGUUAUAUUCCUAAAUUUCUAUAGUAUUUAAUAAAAAUAGUUUUAUAAUUUUUAGUCCAAAUAAGGAAUUAUGGAGUAUUUAAAAUAGCCAAAACCUAUACUCCUGGAAUUUUAGAAAUUAUUUAGUAAUUCGAAAAAUCACUAAACUUUUUGGAUAAGCUUUAAAUGUUAUUUAGAAGUCUUGGGUAAAGUUUGGCAUGAUUUGGACAAUGUUUGGUAACUAAACCCCAAAACCCUAAUCCUUUAGUGAUGCCUACCCUAUGAACUACAAUAUUGAGUUCAAAAACCCUAGUUUCCUAGACUCUCGUGAAGGAAAAUUGUAUUCAAUACCUAAGAUAAUGUACCUUUAUUAUCUUUGCAUUUUCAUAAGCAUUACGUGAGCAUUCAUGAUUAUAUAUGGUUCUAUAUAGAAAACGAAGAAGAAAUAGAGGUUGAAGAAGGAAAAGCUACACCACCACCUGAAGACCCACCUGCCGGGAACUGCUUUUAUUUUGACAUUUGUGGAGCAGAGCUCGACUCUCCUAUAACACAAGGCAAGCCUCGGUGCAUUUGCCACCUCCUUGCUGUUUUAAAAACCUUUCUCACUUGCUUGAUGCAUUAAGUAAUAGGAAUUGUGUGCUAAACAAAUUGAUGCAUUUCCUUCCUUGAGAAUUUGAUUACCUUUCCUUGAUCACCUGUUUUAUAAAAAGGUUUUUCUUGUGCUUAGUCUUGCUCUAAAAAACAAAAUGUUUUGUUUUGACAAAAGAUGAUGCUUCAAGUGGGAUGGGAUGUUUUUCAAAAAUAAAACUGGAUGGUGGAUCCAUCAUGGUCGUGAUGGGUUCAACAUCGGAAAAGAUGUACCUCUGUUAGGUACAAAACUUUGGGUUAAAAUGAUAAAGCUGAGACCAGGCGGGUGACUUGCACAAGAAGAGAGUCUUGGUGUAGUGUCUCCGUCUGAGUCGAUUAAGGACCGUCUCGAUGUAGGCUUGAUGAUCGACGACCUUUUAACUGGUCACAUGCCUCAUCAUGGGUAAGCUUUGCCUCGGGUAGACUAAUACCAGAAUAAGACAACACGCAAUGGGAGUGGAGAGAUGGCGAGAGUAGUGUGUACCCUCUAUGGCAAGAGGCUGGACGGUGGUGUAUCUGUGCUCUCGGUUGGCGUGAACCUGAUCUGGUCUUAAGAACCCCGGUGGCGAGUUGACAUAUGCAAGGGUUAAGUGCUACAUAUGUCAUGUGAUUGGAGAUCCCUAGCUGGGUAUUAAUCGAUUUGGAUCGCCGUUACUUCUCAAACAUGAAGACUUGGUCACUGACUUACACGUAGCAUUCCAGUAAACAAGAAGGGUUGAUAAGAAAAUGGCUAGUAUAGGCCAAGUGCUUGAACUAGGGUAGAAGGAACUUUAGAAUUCAGGUAAUGACUCAACUUGCUAAUAAAACUGGAUUUUUAAAGAUCCACUAUUAGUAAACAUUUUUGCAAAUAGAGUCUUAAUUAUUGAUUAAGCCUUACCUUGACUCCCUCAAGCCAGCAUAUCCUUGAGAGUCUUUUAUUUUGACAGGUAAGACUUGAGAAAGUACACUUCGUACUUAGGGUUUUUGAACCCAUGUUGUUGUAGGUGAGGACGCAGCAAAUUUUUGUUGCUUUUGUUCCAAGGUGGUGCCUAAGGAAGAAAACCAGGACUGAAGCCUCGGGAGGAUGUGUCCUCCUUUAAAAACUUUUUACUGUUAAGCGGGAGGGGUUUUUGCCUCCCGGGUUUGUAAUAAUAUUACUCCAGCACUCUUAUAUUUUACUGGUCUGUAAUAAUAAUACUCUUUCCAUACUUUAAUAUAAAAUAAGUUGUUGUAACUGCUUCCGCAUAUUCGUUCCUCUGAUGUGUUGUAAUAUCUGCGUGACUGGUGAAACGCUCUUAGGAGAGAUAAAGAAUUCAGAUAUCAAACUUGUCAAGUGAUUAGGUGCACCUACAGGGUUGUUCGAGGUCCGAUGGACAAGGACAACUGUAGGUGGGCCUAAUGACUUGGGAGGUUCUGUCACAGCUGGUAUCGGAGCGAAGCCCAUCUCUUCAGAUAUUAUGAGACAUUUCAAAAAGAAUUUUCAAAGACUUAUCUAUGAAAACUUCUUCCAUCUUAUCUUACUAACUUUCUGAAGUACUCACCUUAUAAGACCAGGUAGUAGAGUGCAAUGUAUAGAAGGUUGUGAAUCAACUAAGUUUGAUUCUGUAAUUAUGCAUGCAUCUUGUUAAAAAUAAUACUAAUAAAGCUUUUCCCCAUAUGGAGAUAUGCCGCCACGCACGAGGAAAACCGCGUGUAAGUCCACUGGACUGAUUGGCGUGCCUCGGCAUCAGCUGGCUCCAAGGCAUGAGGAGAGCAGUAGCGGCAGUAAUGACCCCAUUGGAGACCUAGAAGCCCAGGUGGAGCAGCUUCGAAUAGAGCUACGUCACAGAAAUAGGGUGUGGGUAGAAGAUGGUCAGCGUAUAAAUGAGUUAAGAGCUGACGUCUAACAUCUGCACGACGAGCUUGCCGAACGAGAUUUGGCAAUCGAUUGGGGUGUCAACUCACGUUCCAUUGCUUGGGACUGGGAAGCCAAAGCUCCAGCCCGUGCGGAGGACCUUAGCACGGCCGUUGACAACUUGCAGGUGUACUGCAAUAAAUUACAAGAGGAAGUUCAUGAAUUGUAUUCGCGACUGCACCCAGACGUACCUGCCGACCCUGUUGGAAUGGGAGUCGGACCUUCUAGAACAGCAGGUGAAGAACUUUGUGGGGAAUUGGACCUUUUCAAGCCCCCUCCUUCUAUGAACCUGGCUGAUGAAUGGUCCCCUACAACCGACAGUGAAGCAACUAAAGAUGAUAAAUACUAUAGUAGUAUAGUUUAGAAAUAAUGCUAAUGUAAAAUAUGUAAUAAAGUCAUGUUGUACAUUUGAGUUUGUAACAUUACAUCUUAGUAAUGUAAAAUGAUGGUGUGUAUCAGCAUGUUAUAUUUUUCCCAAAUAUUUCUUUGCUUCAGAUGCCAUCCUAAACUCGUGCACAUAACGGCAUGGGAACGUCCCAUGGUCAAGAAGAUACACCCAAUCCACUGCUGGUACCGCCCACGUUGGCCGAGGCUAUCGCUGCCUUGGUCACUGCAACCGCUGACAACACCCGCUUCCUACGUGAAAUGGCGGGAAAUCAAUUUAAGCAGCAAGGCGGGAGGGCUUAUCCGCAGGGACCCCGCGAAACUUUGUACCUAGAUUUUUCGGAAACCCGUCCCCCACUUUUCGUCAAAGCCGAAGAUCCUGUCGAAGCCGACGAAUGGGUUCAGGUCAUUGAGCAAAAAUUUGGGCUCAUCCGCUGCACGGAGACCCAAAAGCCGUUAUUCGCAGCUCAGCAACUAAGAGGCCCUGCCAGCACCUGGUGGGGAAAUUAUGUGGCCAUUCAGCCUGCCGGACAUCAGGUCACAUGGGACGAAUUUAAAUUAGGGUUUCAUGAGCACUACAUUCCAGAAGGAGUGCGCACAUGAAGCAGGAAGAAUUCAUGAGACUCAAGCAAGGAGGAGAUACUGUCAUGCAGUAUCUCAACAAAUUCAAUCAUUUGUCCCCAUAUGCAAUUGAUCAGGUCAAUACUGACCUGAAAAAGAAGAACUGCUUCAUGCGAGGCCUCAAUGAUCGGCUACAAAGAAAGAUGGCCACUUGCCUCGAUCUCUCCUACAACAGGGCUAUCGGCACAGCGUUGGUAGUUGAAGCUAAACAUGCAGGCCUAGGAAAAUCAAAGGGAAUUGGAGGUGACAGGUCCAACUAGGGGCCUGACAAGCGACAAAGGUUGGUAAUCCGACCUUUCAAUCAAAACCGUUCUUCACCUCGUCCACCCUCCUACCCCUUCAAACAUCCUGUAUUCACCCGCCCUGCCACUGCCCCCACUUCAACAACUCAGCCGAGUGCCCUUGGCGCUCGUUUCCCCGCCCUCCCGAGUUCUACAACUGGCUGCUUCAAUUGUGGGAAGUCUGGACAUUUUAUCAAAGACUGCCCAUAUCUGAGGCAGAACAAAUCCAAGAAUCAGCAGAACCCAGGGAGUUCAAGCCAAGGCAAGGGAAACAUGGCAAAUAAUUCAGCGGGCAAGAAUAUAAAGAAGACUGGGCGAAUAUACUAUACACAAGUGGCCACUACACCGGAGGGAGAGCCGGUUAUGAUGGAUACGUUCCUCAUGGCCAAUCACCCUACAAUCAUUCUCUUUGAUUCUGGUGCUUCGCAUACAUUCAUAAGCAAGAAGUUUGUGGAGAAAUAUUGCAUUCCUUGCAUUGAAUCAAAGGAAGGGUUUAUUAUUCAUUCGCCUGGGGGACAAAUAUUCACUAAAGAAGUGACUUUCCAUGUGCCCGUAACAUUGCUGAAUGAGACUUUCCCACAAAUAUGAUUGUUCUGAAAGGCUAGGAUAUAGAUGUAAUUCUAUGCAUGAAUUGGUUAACCCAACACAAAGCUAUCCUCAACACUGAUCUGAGAACCAUCAAGUUGAGCUAUGGCCAUGAAGAGGUUCUCUUGUCCAUCCCUGUAGCUAUUCCAGCUAAACCAUUUGGCAGAGUCUAUGAAGCUAUCAUACCAGAAAUCCAAGAUAUUCCGGUAGUAUGUGAGUUUCUGGAUGUCUUUCCGGGAGAUCUGCCUGGAUUACCUCCAGAAAGAGAUGUAGAGUUUGUGAUUGAAUUGAAGCCUGGUAUGGGUCCUAUUUCUAGAAGGUCAUACCGAAUGCCUCCAAAUGAGUUGGCAGAGCUCAAGACACAAUUACAAGAUCUACUGGAGAAGGGAUUCAUCCGACCUAGCUCGUCACCUUGGGGUUGUCCAGCAAUUUUUGUCAAGAAGAAGGAUCAAAUGCUUCGGAUGUGCGUGGACUACAGACCCCUUAAUGAGGUCACAAUCAAGAGUAAGUACCCUCUUCCCCCGGAUUGAUAUCUUAUUCGAUCAGCUUACGAGAGCUCGGCUAUUUUCCAAAAUUGACCUCAGGUCUGGUUAUCAUCAGAUCUGUAUCCGACCCGAAGAUACACCCAAGACCGCAUUUACUACGCGGUAUGUAUUAUUUGAAUAUCUGGUUAUGUCUUUCGGAUUAACAAAUGCUCCUACCCACUUCACAUAUCUGAUGAACUCGGUAUUCAUGCCCGAGUUGGAUAAAUUUGUGGUGGUCUUCAUUGAUGAUAUCUUGAUUUAUUCCAAGAAUGAAGAGGAGCAUGCUCGACAUCUGCGGAUCGUAUUAACGCGCUUAAGGGAACAUCAACUAUAUGCUAAAUUCAGCAAGUGCGCGUUUUGGCUGGAGGAAAUCCAAUUUCUGGGACACAUGUUGUGUGCCAAGGGGAUUGCGGUUGAUCCCAGCAAGGUCAAGGAUAUUUUAGAGUGAAAACCGCCAACCACUAUACAUCAAGUCCGAAGUUUCCUUGGACUGGCUGGGUAUUACCGCCGAUUUAUCCCAGAUUUUUCUAAGCUUGUGAAGCCAAUCACAAGUUUAUUGAAAAAUGAUACAAAAUUUAACUGGUCCUCAAGAUGCAAUGAAGCCUUCAAGCAGCUGAAGGUGUUAUUGACCAUUGCUCCGGUAUUAGCUCAACUGGACAUUAAAAAGCCUUUUGAUGUGUAUUGUGACGCAUCAGGCAGUGGUUUAGGCUGUGUCUUGAUGCAAGAGGGCCGAGUCAUAGCGUAUGCCUCAAGACAAUUGAGCCGGCAUGAGGAACAUUAUCUAACUCAUGAUUCAAAAUUAGCUGCUGUGGUUCAUGCCCUGAAAAUAUGGCGUCAUUAUCUGUCGGGGAAUAUCUGUCAUAUAUAUAUAUAUAUAUAUAUAUAUAUCAUAAAAGCUUGAACUACAUUUUUACCUAGUCAUAACUAAAUAUGUGGAAGAGGACAUGGCUUGAGCUAAUUAAGGACUAUGAAUUGGAAAUUCACUAUCACCCAGGCAAGGCCAACGUGGUGGCACAUGCACUAAGUCACAAGGCUUCCUGCCAUUGUCUUACAAUGAAAACCUCUGACAUCACAUUAUGCCAAGAAAUGGAGAAGUUAAACCUGGGAAUGAUUCAACAUGGAACCUUAAAUCAAUUAAAGCUUGAGUCAAUUCUUUUGCAAAGGAUUAUUGAUGCACAAAGAAGUGAUGAGGGUAUGAAACACAUUCAUGAGAAAAUAAAGGCCGGUAAAGCAAACUGUUUCAGAAAAGAUGAUCAAGGUAUUGUAUGGUUUAAUAACCACAUAGUUGUGCCCAAGAAUGAUGAAGUCCGCCAGCAAAUUUUGGAUGAAGCUCAUCUUAGUCGCUAUUCCAUUCAUCCCGGAAGCACUAAGAUGUAUCAUGAUCUAAAGCAACAUUAUUGGUGGACGAAGAUGAAAAUCUAAAUUACACGCUAUGUGGCGAGAUUCGACACUUGUAGAUGUGUCAAAGCCAUACACAUGAAAACUGCGGGUCCAUUGCAAUCCUUACCUACACCAACUUGGAAAUGGGAAGACAUAAGCAUGAACUUUAUUGUGGGAUUACCCAGGACAACAAAAGGAUUUGAUUCUAUUUGGGUUAUAAUUGAUCGACUGACAAAAAUAGCUCAUUUUCUGCCAGUCAAGACGUACUACCCAGUCAUCACUUAUGUCCAGAUGUAUAUUGCUCGUAUUAUCAGUCUGCACGGGAUUCCAAAAACUAUAGUGUCGAACCGCGGACCACAAUUUGUAUCCAAAUUCUGGGGAGAACUCCACAAAUCUUUGGGUACUAAGUUGCUUCACAUUUCAGCCUAUCAUCCCCAAACCAGUGGGCAGACUGAGAGGGUGAACCAGAUACUUGAAGACAUGUUACAAGCAUGUGUUCUAGAAUUCCCACAGAAAUGGGAUGAUUGUUUACCAUUGGCGAAGUUUUCAUACAACAACAGCUAUCAAGAGUGCACCAAGAUGGCACCUUUUGAAGCUUUGUAUGGACGACUGUGUCGUACUCCGUUAAACUGGUCUGAACCAGGACAAAGAUGGUUUUUUAGGCCUAAUAUGGUGAAAGAAAUGGAAGAAAUAGUUCAACGAAUUAUAUAUAAUUUGAAAGAAGCCAAGCUCGCCAAAAUAGUUAUGCAGACAAACGACGCCAACCCUUGUACUUUCAAGUUGAAGACUAUGUCUACCUGAAACUCUCACAAAUGAAGGGUGUAUCUCGUUUAAGGGUAAAAGAGAAGCUUGCACCCCGGUACAUUGGUCCUUUUCCUAUCCUUGAAAGAUGUGGACCAGUGGCAUACCAACUCCAACUACCCAAAACAUUGUCUGCAUUGCAUAAUGUGUUCCACGUAUCCUAAUUGAAGAAGUGUCUUCGGGUUCCAGAUCGAACCGUUGAAGUGACGUAUGUUGCCUUAGAACCAGACUUGACAUAUUUAGAACAUCCUAUUCGUGUCUUGGAUCAAACGGACAGGAUUACCGGAAGGAGAACUCUCAAAUUUUAUAAGAUACAAUGGAACCAACACACGGAAGAUGAAGCUACUUGGGAAACCCAAGACUUUUUAGAAAAGAAUUUCCCAGGCUUUUUAGAUUCAUGUAAAUUGUGAGAUAUGUACAAUUAUUGUAAAAAAAGAGUAGACCCCAUAUCACCCCCUGCCUUGUAACAGAAAUAAGGAAAUGAAAAUAUGACACGUUUCCUUUUCCAUUACUUGCCCUAGGACUUUUAAUCUAGGGAUGAGAUUCCUUUAUGGGGGGAAGGAUGUAACACCCCUGGUGUUACUGUCACUAAAACUUGAGUAUAACAUCAUGAGCAUUAGCAUAUCAUGUGUUUGUUACACUUAGAGUGCAUUCACUAGUCAAAAAAAUUUCAAACAAGUUGUAUUGAUGUGACUGGUCAUGGGUGAAACCCUAGGGUAGGGUACUUAACCCUAAACUAGGCCUAGGAGUGUCAAUAAAGCCUAAAUGUGAGAAAACUUUAAAACUCAUUAGAAGUGGUCAUAAGAUAUCACCAUUAAUGGACUUGAGUGGCAUUCAAACCCUAGAAGUGCCAACAACCCUAAAAAGACCCCUCGAAAACCCUUAGUUGAAACCCUAGGGGGUUAUAUGUAAAUUUGGCACACUUUUCGAUCCAAGUGCAAAAACCAAGGUACUAGGGCACCUCCAAUCAUAUGGUUCACAUAUUUGAGGAUUUGCAAAUCAAACCAUGAGAUUUGGGCUUACUUGCAAAAAGCCACUCUACACCUCUCAUGUGACUAAGUCUGAAAACCAGUGAACAGGGCUGACUUUGGAGCUCUGUAGAUUUAAAAAUACAAAGAAUUUGCCUAGGGUCAACACAUCAAAGUUAUAGAACUAUCAUAGGAGAAUAACUUUGCUUAAGUAACUAAGCUUUGAUCACAUACAAAGUUUGGGGGAAAAUAAGCUCAAAGUUGUGUUGUCAGUCACUCUAAUAACUGAAUUUAGGUCACCAGUGACAUUGGCCAGACUUUUGGGUCAAAUUGGAGUAGGAUCCAUUGCUCGAUUAAGGAUAGUUGCUAUAGUCGAUUUGUAGCUGGAUCAUAGAGCUACAAGUUUGCUACAGAUAAAUUAGCAAGUUCUUAUACGAAAAUCCAAGAUCUGGGCACUACAAAUCUGUCUGUCAGAUUGACUAAAUGAGGAUCCAAUGGUACAGUGCAUUGAAAUAUCCCAAUCCACUGAACCUCGCCGCCGACGAGCUAUGCACUCGGAUUCGCGCUCGCUGCGGUGAUUUGUGCCCAGUCCAGAUGGAUAACGGCGAAGGGGUAUGAAAUAUCAUACCGUGGAUGAACUCGGGCCGCCGUACCCGCCUGAGUCACGGCCUCUUCGGAUAGACUCACCGGAGUUAGCCACCUCGCGACCUUGCGCCACGUGCCUUGGUGCUUUAAUCACGCCACCGUGAGUCACCUUAGCCCACUUGAUCAUCGCCGGUGAGCUCGCCACGGUAAACGCCACCAAUUGCUUGCGCCAGUGCACCCCCUUCUCUCAGGCCGCCACCGCGCAAUCUCAAAUUCACGGGCCACCGCUCAAGGGCCCUAUAAAUUGAGCACGCCCUCGGCUCUGCUAUGUAAUUGUGCACUCAACACACCCACUCGUGCCUCCAAUUACUCACCAGAGCCCUCGAAUUGCUCAGUUCCCCCAAAUCAGUUUUCCGCCGCCAUGAACAAGCUCUCACCGUGGCCAGUGCACUCGAGGUCCGAUCUUGUCCUCUGCUCUCUUGUUUCAGCACCCUUACAUGCCCCUGAUUCUUCUCGACCCAACCGAUUAGGCUAGAACCCCUUAGAUCGCCGGGAACACUUCAUGAUGUCCAUUGUGCCCGCUGUCACCGUGGACAGGAUGAUUUAGAGCUCAAAUCUAACAAUUAAGUAAGGGGAAAUGAUCGCGUAGGGUUGAAUUCGGUGUCCAGCAAAGGGGAGGGCUAGUCGUUGUUCUUUCUGGCCGGUACAGGUUCGCCGGAGCUCGGUUCAUCGCUGUUCGCCGUCGAGGACCGUGGGUUGUGAAGAAUUAGAACGUGGAGGGUUUCGGUGUAAAUGUCAGUGACCCAUUUCAAUAGUGCGUAGGGUUCUUCACUAGUUAUUCAAAUCCCUAGGGACCUCGGUGCAAACUAUCCACCGCGGGCGCGCUCGAAGCCGCGUUUCCCCCGUUCUCGGGCUGACUUGGGCCAGUUUCGGCCAAAUACUAUUAAUGCUUUUUCCUUUUCUUUUUCUUCCAGGGUUAGAGAAUUCAUAGAAAAUUGUAGAAAAAUGCUAAAAAUACCAGACCAAUUUUGUUAUAUUCCUAAAUUUCUAUAGUAUUUAAUAAAAAUAGUUUUAUGAUUUUUAGUCCAAAUAAAGAAUUAUGGAGUAUUUAAAAUAGCCAAAACCUAUACCCCUGGAAUUUUAGAAAUUAUUUAGUAAUUCCAAAAAUCACUAAACUUUUUGGAUAAUCUUUAAAUGUUAUUUAGAAGCCUUGGGUAAAGUUUGGCAUGAUUUGGACAAUGUUUGGUAACUAAACCCCAAAACCCUAAUCCUUUAGUGAUGCCUACCCUACAAUAUUGAGUUCAAAAACCCUAGUUUCCUAGAGUCCCGUGAAGGAAAAUUAUAUUCAAGACCUAAGAUAACGUACCUUUAUUAUCUUUGCAUUCUCAUAAGCAUUACAUGAGCAUUCAUGAUUAUAUAUGGUUCUAUAUAGAAAACGAAGAAGAAAUAGAGGUUGAAGAAGGAAGAGCUACACCACCACCUGAAGACCCACCUGCCGGGAACUGCUUUUAUUUUGACAUUUGUGGAGCAGAGCCCGACUCUCCUAUAACACAAGGCAAGCCCCGGUGCAUUUUCCACCUUCUUGCUGUUUUAAAAACCUUUCUCACUUGCUUGAUGCAUUAAGUAAUAGGAAUUGUGUGCUAAACAAAUUGAUGCAUUUCCUUCCUUGAGAAUUUGAUUACCUUUCCUUGAUCACCUAUUUUAUAAAAAGGUUUUUCUUGUGUUUAGUCUUGCUCUAGAAAAACAAAAUGUUUUGUUUUGACAAAAGAUGAUGCUUCAAGUGGGAUGGGAUGUUUUUCAAAAAUAAAACUGGAUGGUGGAUCCAUCAUGGCCGUGAUGGGUUCAACAUCGGAAAAGAUGUACCUCUAACAGGUACCAAACUUUGGGUUAAAAUGAUAAAGCUGAGACCGGGCGGGUGACUUGCAUGAGAAUAUAGUCUCGGUAUAGUGUCUCCGUCUGAGUCGAUUAAGGACCGUCUCGAUGUAGGCUUGAUGAUCGAGGACCUUUUAACUGGUCACAUGCCUCAUCAUGGGUAAGCUUUUCCUCGAGCAGACUAAUACCAAAAUAAGACAACACGCAAUGGGAGUGGAGAGAUGGCGAGAGUAGCGUGUACCCUCCGCGGCAAGAGGCUGGACAGUGGUGUAUCUGUGCUCUCGGUUGGUGUGAACCUGAUCUGGUCUUAAGAACCCCGGUGGUGAGUUGACAUAUGCAAGGGUUAAGUGCUACAUAUGUCGUGUGAUUGGAGAUCCCCAGCUAGGUAUUAAUCGAUUCAGAUCGCCGUUACUUCUCGGACAUCAAGACUUGGUCACUGACUUACACGUAGCAUUCCAGUAAACAAGAAGGGUUGAUAAGAAAAUGGCUAGUAUAGGCCAAGUGCUUGAACUAGGGUAGAAGGAACUCUAGAAUUCAGGUAAUGACUCAACUUGCUAAAAAAACUAGAUUUUUAAGGAUCCACUAUUAGUAAACAUUUUUGCAAACAGAGUCUUGAUUAUUGAUUAAGCCUUACCUUGACUCCCUCAAGUCAGCAUAUCCUUGAGAGUCUUUUAUUUUGACGGGUAAGACUUGCGAAAGUACACUUCGUACUCAGGGUUUUGGAACCCAUGUUAUUGUAGGUGAGGAAGCAGCAAAUUUUUGUUUCUUUUGUUCCAAGGUGGUGCCUAAGGAAGAAAACCAGGACUAAAGCCUCGGGAGGAUGUGUCCUCCUUUAAAAACUUUUUACUGUUAAGCGGGAGGGGUUUUUUCCUCCCGGGUUUGUAAUAAUAUUACUCCAACACUCUUCUAUUUUUCUGGUCUGUAAUAAUAAUACUCUUUCCAUACUUUAAUAUAAAAUAAGUUGUUGUAACUGCUUCCGCAUAUUCGUUCCUCCGAUGUGUUGUAAUAUCUGCGUGACGGGUGCAACGCUCUUGGGAGAGAUAAAGAAUUCAGAUACCGAACUUGUCAAGUGUAACACCCUAGGUGUUAUCUCCCGUUAAACAUCGAUUAUGGAUUUAAGCGCGGGAUGUUAGUAAAUAAAGUGGACACUGUCGGCGUUUUGGACCCGCGAGGACCAUCAACCGACCAGUAAAUUUGUUGCUGCGUGCCCCUGCCAGAUGGGUUGAUGCAAGAUGGAACACAAGAGGGAAAUGAGGCUUAUGUUAUCUCGCACCGGGGUGCUCGUAGUAGGGGUUACAAGUGUCGCGAGGGAGGGAGAGCAAGAGAGAGAGAGAGAGAGAGAGAGAGAGAGAGAGUCCCUGCGUUCGUCCGUCUCUGCUCGUCCCGAUCUCUUUACGUCAACGUCCACUUGUGUGAACGUGAGCGUUGGAACGUCCGUGUUGUAACGUGCGUCCUCCCGUCAUGUCCUCUAGGAAGGCCCUGGACAUCCCCUCUUAUAGAUACAAGGAGAUGUCUAGCUGUACAAUGGGGUGUAGCUAUGUGCUAUCGUGGCUGGUGGAGAAGCGCCUUGAGCCCUGUACACGAGCUAACGUGGCCGUCGGAGAACUGCAUUGAGCCCUGUAGAAGCAAAGCUGUCGGCGCGGCAUGGAUCCUGCUGACGUUGUCUUGCUUCCGUAGGAGGUUGAGAGCAAUCCGAUGUCAUGGGCGCACGAGGGGAACCAUCAUUACCUGUUACCGGAGUAACCUUAGAUGGGACACCGGUCUUGUUCCUUCGUAUCCUAAGGCGGCUAGCUAGGGGUAGGGUAAUGAUGUAUCCCCUGUAGCGUAGUCGGUCCGAGGCCCAGGUCGGGCGAGGCGGAGAUUUCUCCUGAGGCCGAGGCUGGGCUCGGGCGAGGUUGUGACUCCUCCCGAGGCCGAGGCCUGGGGUCGGGCGAGGCGGAGAUCUUCUUCCGAGGCCGAGGCCUGAGGUUGGGCGAGGCGGAGCUCCCUGUUGCGCCCGAGGCCAAACUCGCGGGAGAUCGUGACUCAGUUUUAUCCUGGUGGUUGGCAAAGUAGCCAGAGCGAGGCGAACAUCGCUGUUUUCGUGUCAGAUCGGUCAGUAAAUGGGCGAAGUGACUGCGAUCACUUCGACCUUGCCGACUGAGGCACGCGUGUCAGGAUAAGAUGUCAGGCGAUCCCCGCAUUAAAUGCGCAUGCGAUACGGUCGGCUGGUAAGGCGAUUUGGCCAAGGUUGCUGCACGACAAGGUCUGCCCGAGUUGGGCUUCGGGUGAGCCGAAGGUGCGUCUGCUGACUGAGGGGACCCUCGGGCGAGGCGUGAAUCCAUCCGGGACUACUGUUCCCGCCCGAGGCUGGGAUCGGAUGAGGUUGCGUCCCUUGGUAGACGUGGCCUUGACUUGAACCGCGCUUUAUCAGCCGUGUAUGGUUUGUUCUGAAGAUGUUUUCCAGCCGGAUUACGGAGCCUUGGGGGUACCCCUAAUUAUGGUACCCGAUAGACACUAAAUUUUAAUCAUCUCGCAAAAGUUCGAGUUUGGUGUCAUUUUCAUUUUGAUAAUCUACGCACUUAAAAAGGGUUCAUGAAGCUUUUGAAUUAUCGAAUCUUCGCCGCUGGCGAAUUUUGAACUGAUCGGAUCACCCGUGUAAGAAUGCGAAAAUCAGAAAACUUGUGAUUUUAUUGAAAAUUUGGAGCCCGCGUUGUCCGAACAGAACGAUGCGCGAGUUGAUUAAGUGAAUCGUUCCUCUCAGCAUGUGAUCGUUGGCGUCAGAUCAAAUGAUCGAUCACUGGUGAGGAUCGUAAAAAUUAGACAGAACUAAAUAACAGUCUCUUUGUCUUAAUUUGUUUUGUCUGUUGCGAGUUUAACAUUGUUUUUAUUUAUCCGGUCUCUUCCUAAAUUUUCGUGAUGUUCGGAACAUAUUGUCCCGAAAAUCGGUGCGUCUGGUGAUUAUUUAAAAUUCAUAGCACGCGUGAAUACGAAUUUGGAAAUUUCGUCUAGUCCUCCGAUUUCAUCUCAAACAGAUUAAGUAGAACUCGACGACUAAGUUUUCGUUGUAAAAUAAUUUAGUCCCCUUUUGUCAUCCGUUACAUCGCGUCUACAGAUUUUUAAUGGAAUUGUUCUCUAGUCGAGUGUUCGAGUAGCGAACGGAAUUCAUCUAAAGCCAACUGUAUCAAAUGCAGAUUAAAAUAUCAAAGUCGAUACUGUGGUUCUGUCCGAUUAUAUCUCACCCAGAUCCAAAUGUUUGAAUAUAUAAUAAGUAAAAAUUCAUCUGACCUCGCGAAAAUGCUCAUCAAUUCAAACUUCGUCUAGAUAUUGUGCCAUGAUAGUGCCUUAAUAGAACUCGUUUUGACUCUCCUAAAUUCUAACCUAAAACUCAGAUUAUAAUCUUGUCUAUAUUCAUAUUGUUGUUUUAAGAGGAAUAAUCUAAUUUUCUAUUCCUUAGACCCCAGCCUUAUCUCUUUAUGCGUGAUGUUUUGUUAAAAAAGAGAGGAUAUCUCUAUUUUCUUUUUACUCCGCAUGGCUGCUUCUCCGUUAUCUGCACCCGCAACUCUUCGAGUGGAGAUUUUUCAGUGCUCCUCCUAUCCGACGGCUGAAUAUUUCCCCCAGGUCGCGUGCGGUCUGAUUUUUUUUCCAACCGUCGUUAUCUUGUGGCCGCUACGCACUUCUCUCCUGCUUCUUCCACGACAGCUCCCUCGGCCUUCAUCUCCCAGCCGCUCCUCCUCUCUCCUCCCUCCAUCUCUCCUGCGUGCGCCCUACUCCCUGCUGCUCGCCCGGCCGAGCUCCCUAGCCGCCGCGCCGCGAACUCUAGCGCUCGGUGCCCAACUUCCAGCGUCGCGGCUUCCCAACUCCCUCUCCCUGCGCACGCCGCGCGCCGUUCUCCCAGCAGCGUCCCAUCGAGUCUCUCUCUCCCUCCGGUCGCUACCAUAGUCUUUCCCCGCUCUAGAUCCAUGGCACCAGAUUCGCCCAGCUGAGUUCAUCAGACCUCUGGUCUUUGCCUCCCCACGCGCCAUGGCUGUUGGAAGCUCCGUCAGCAAUUCAGCAAUUCGUUUCGUGCGUCAUCAAGAAAUCCCAAGAGUCGGGUGAAGACGGAGUUAGCAGCAUGAUGUUCACCAAGUACUCGACACAAGGGCCGAACUGGAAUCCAUGUCGUGCUCGCGGAUAGCGCGUCAGAGUUAGUAUGGUAAGCCGGUUCAUAUUUCCGUUAGUUUAAUUAUUGGAUUAAUUCAAUGAAUGCGAUGUGAUUAUUUUCAUGAUUUUGGAGUAGUCGCGUUGGGUAGGUUUGAGAUGUUAAUUAUGUGACGUAUGGUAAAUUAGUGAAUGAAGUUUAAAUUUAGUAUUUGAAAAUGUCUAAACAAUAAUAUUAUUAGUAUUACUUAUGCCGAAUUAUAAUUGUUUGAUAAAAUUAAUGGUAGGCUAUAUACGAUAGUUUAGAGUGGUAUGUAAUUUAAUCUAGUCACGUGGUCUAAAAAGUGAUGUGCUUUUAUUCUUGUUCUAGAUUUAAAUUCCUUGGACCACUGAGUUUAGAAUUUAAUUAAUUAACUGAUAAGUUGUGUUUAGGCUAAUCGUGUUAAAUGUAUAUAGUUUGUUGUUUCGUGAUGUUUGCGUUAGAUUUGGUUAAUCUAGCGAAGCGUAAUCAUCACGCUUAGUCGUAUGUUGAUAACUAGUGUUUCCGUACGAAAGUGUACAACGCCUUGCCGCUAGGUGUUUAAUUCGCUAUCGCGUAGCACUAUUUAGGUUUGUGAUAUUCCUGUCUAUAUGCAUUCAUGUGCAUAAUGCAUUUCAUUCAGGUACGUGAAUUAACCACGUGAUGCGGAAGACGAGCCAAGUCGACCCCAAGCGCGGGCUACUCCUCAUGGUGAUGCUGAUGGACGAACCUGCCUGACCAAGUGCUAGGACAAGGAUGAUCGUCAAGUGGUCGUCGUCUAACAACACUAACUUAGUGUUACCCAGGCAAGCCCCGGUGCAUGCAACCCCUUCCUUGUGUUUUUAAAUGAUUUUUACACACUUUAAGUCAAGCGAAAUGUGCAUUAGGUUUAUAGGAGUUGCUUGAAAACCCUUUGUUGCAUUGGCUACCUUGAUAUCCGUUCCUAUUAUAGAUACUUCUUUGGAAGUAUCAAAUGAUUUACAAAAUUUGCUUAGCUCUGCUUAGAUCUUGUGGAUAGAGGUUGUCUUUUGCAUUAAGGCCUAGCUCAGGGGUUAUCCUGAGGAAGGAUGACUUCUACCUGCAAGAAUAUUUUCAUUGGGAGCGUGGUGGGAUCUUACUGCAAAGUUCCCUAUAAUGCUCUUUUCAUCCUAAGGAACACAAAACUAUCAUAAGGAUGGAAAUACAUAAAUCGAGACUUGGGUUAGGAACAGGUGAUGUUCUACCCAGAUUAAUUAAGGAUUAUAGCGAAUGUAGGCUUGAUGAUCGAGGACCUUUUAACUGGUCACAUGCCUCAUCAUGGGUAAGCUUAGCCUCGGGCAGACUAAUACCAGAAUAAGACAACACGCAAUAGGAGUGGAGAGAUGGCGAGAGUAGCGUGUACCCUCCAUGGCAAGAGGCUGGACGGUGGUGUAUCUGUGCUCUCGGUUUGCGUGAACCUAAUAUGGUGUUAAGAACCAAACUGGCUAGUUAACAUAUGCAAGGGUUAAGUGCUACAUAUGUCGUGUGAUUGGAGAUCCCCAGGUGGGUAUUAAUCGAUUCAGGAUCGCCGUUACUUCUCGGAUAUGAAGACUUGGUCACUGACUUGCAAUCUAAGUCAAGGAUGGAAUCAUAAUGAGCAAAAAUCAUGUUGUAUUGAUUAAAGUGAUGAUGAAAUAAGACUAGAUGCAAACAAGGUCUAUUAAUACUUAAUCUAGCAUUAAAAUGUUGAAAGUAAGGACUCAUUUUAGUAAGCUUUCUGCAAACUAUUAAUGUUGAUUCUUGCUAAAAGCCUUUCCUUGACUCCCAAAUCCAGCAUAUCCUUGAGAGUCUUUUGGUAAGUCUUGCUGAGUACUUGCGUACUUAGGGUUUUAUUCCCAUUAUUGCUGCAGGAUACGAGUCGCUUGGAUUGUGAUUGGUAUUAAGCGUCGUUGGGCAUGGCCUUCUUAUAAGUCUAAGUAACUCUUCUAUACUUCUUAUUGAGGAUGGUCAAUUGAGCUAGCAUAUAUAUUCCAAACUUAUAGAUAAUUUAUAAUAUUUCAUAGUUUAUUUCUUUGAAUCACUUUUGUAAUCACUCCGGUAAAUAUAAUGUAAACUUGAUGUAACUUGUAGAAUUUGGUAGUAAGAUUUCCACUGCAAAAAUGUUGGUGUGUGAUUUGUGUUUACUUAAUCUUGCGAUCUUGGUUGUAAGUGGUUUAUCCGGGGUCCUUGGGACACUUAGACGGAUCCUGUUAAGUUAUCUGGUGCACAUGCAUAGCCGUUUGAGGUCUUUGAGACAAGGACAGGUGCAUGUGGGCCCAAUAAUAUGGGAGGUUCUGCCACAGCUGGUAUCGGAGCAGGAUUAAGUAUAUACGGUCACAUACGUAUUUUCAAAACAAAAGUUUUGGUUUCGAAAAACCUAUUUUCAACUAAACACAUUGUUUGGCUUUGAAAAACAGUUUUGAAAAACUAUAAUGCUAGCGACAUCCUCUGUUAAGCCCUAAAUUAAGGACUAUCAGGUGGCUUAGAUCAAAACCACUAACCCACAAUCGAGGAUAUUGCAUACAUGUGUAAUGUUAUUUUGAGGCCAUUCAGUUUUGAAUGGAUCGACGCUCAAGGUAAGGUGAGAUGUGAGAGCAUGACCGAACAAACGUCGGUCUAGGGGAGAGCAUGAAAAGUGCUUGAUUAUAUACAUGUUCUACAUAUGUAUAUAUGAAGGCUGCGAUGUGGAGUAAUUACUUUUCUGGGAAUUCAGUAUCCUAUCGAUAUAUACGGGUAUACAGACAUGGGAAUACUAAGAAGUGUAAUGUACUUGUAACGACGCACCUACGCUCAGGUAAGAAGGUGAGUUACCAUAAUGAGUUGCCCUGUGGUUAAAGUGUGGCAACGACGUCUAUGCGUGGCUCGGCGCUUAAUGAUGAGCUGGCCUCCAUAUAGCAAUAUAUGGAGUAUAAACUGUGAUAAACUAUCAUGUGUGAAUUGCAUCAUUGGGAAAUGGGCUGUGAUGAAAAUUUUCUGCAGGUACACUAACCUCGAAAACGUAUGUGUAACUGAUGACUAGCAAAAUAUCGAGAGAGUCGUAAGUAUGCCACCGAUAUAAAAUGCUAUUGCCACAUUAUGUUGGCAAAAUCAGUGAGGACGAAUAAGACGAGCUUGCAUCCUGAUUGUUGCAUCAUGUUUGUCACCUAUACAUCAAAAUGCUUCUCUCACCUUUAUUCCAAUAACCAGUGAUUGUAGAUAAUGUGGUGUAAUGCGGUAUUAUGAACGUCAGUGAAAUAGUUAUUCUCUGUUUCCUUAGGUAAUAUGUUUAGGUGUUAUAUGUGUUUGCUCUCGUACUUGAUGUGCUGAUAGAAGGUUGGUGACUUGUUUGCUUAAACCCAAAACUAGGUCAUGUUCUUAGUUGGUGAACCAUGACCCAAAGUUGAUUUUUCCGUUAUCCCUCCAUAGCUAAACUCAUGCAAAUGGAGGUUUGGAUAAUUUCUUUAUCUAACACAAGAUGUGCAUGGGCUUAAAGUUAGGAUCUCGAGUCCGUGUUCUCGCUAUUUAAUUUGUGACGUUUUAGUUGUCAUAUUUCCAUCUUAGAUCAUGCCCUUGUUUGAUUGGCACAAGCUGAUGUCCCUUAUCCAGUUUGCCUGUUCUUAAGAAUCGCCAUGUUGCUUUAUCAAUCUAACCUAGGAAGACAUGUCCAAUCAUUUUCUUUAAUUUGGUGCCUUUGGUUUCCUCAUAUCUAUCGAAGGCAUGCCAACUUGAUUUUAUGAUUAUUUUCCCCCAUAUCUAAUCAGAUACUAAUCCUUGACCUUGUUCUGUAGCAUCCCAAAAAUUCAAAUCUUGAAAUUUUCUCAAACUCGCUCUAAAUUCAAAAUGAAUUUCAAAUUUCAUUUCAAAUGUUUGUUUGUGAGUUGAUAUCAACAAAUAAAUUAUAGUGGUCUAUAUUCUCUCCAAAAUCCUCCUCAAAAUAUCCUACAAAUAUUUCCCAAGUGAUCACCCUCAAAUUCUUUUCUGAAAUACUGCCCAGAUAUUUCUCCAGUGAUCCCCCUCAAAAUCUUCCAGAAAUACCGCCCAGAUAUUUCUCGAGUAAUCCCCUUCAAGUUCUUUCCAGAAAUACUGCCCAAAUAUUCUACCGAUAUAUCUCCAAAUAUUUUCCUCUUGAGAAAUACCUUCAGAAUCAUUUUUCAAGUCCCCACAAAUAUUUUCUUCAUAACUUUCCUUAUGCUCAUACGUAUACGUAUGCCUCUGGUGUCAUACGGUGAGCUCUACAAGCUAAUCUCACUCAUACAAGACAAAUACAUGCUAAUCUCCCACUAAUCCUCUCAUCCUCCCACUAAUCCUCUCAUCCCUUCCCCUAAUCCCCCCACCAUGGCUAUAAAUAGAGGGGCAAGGGCCUCCUCUCAUCCCACCCUAAGCCAUUUCAUGGCAACUCUCUUCCCCCCCCCCACACACACCCACUCCAUGUUCCACACAAGCACACACUAGCUCAAGGAUCGUUCGGUCGUUCUUCGAUCGUUCGUCCACCUGUUCUUAGUUUGUUCGUUCGUUCGUCCGAUCGUUCGUCUGAUCGUUCAUGGUUCGUUCGUCCGUUCGUCCGAUCGUUAGAUCGUUCGUCCGUUCGUUCGUCCAAAUAAUCUUUGUUCAGUCGUUAUGCUGCCGAAAUUUCGAUCGUUCGUUCGUUCGAUCAUUCGAUCGUUCAUCGUUCGUCCAUAGUUCCUAUUCAUCGUUCAUUGUUCGUUCAUAGUCCCUAUUCAUCGUUCUUCUAGAUAAUCUUUGUCCUGCCGUUAUGCUACCGAAAUUCCGAUCGUUCGUUCGUCCGAUCAUUCGAUCGUUCGUCCGUUCGUUCAUAGUUCUUGUUCAUCAUUCAUAGUUCGUUCAUCGUCACUAUUCAUCGUUCAUCGUUCGUUCAUACGAACUAUUCACCAUUACUAUUCAUCAUCAUUACUAUUCGUCGUUCCUAUUUAUCAUCGUUACUAUUCAUCAAUGAUAUCUAUAAUAACUUUUUCGUCGUCCCUAUUCACCGUUACUAUUCAUCGUUACUAUUUAUCGAAUUUCAACUACUCAUCUGUCAUGUUGUCCAGUCCACCUAAGACUAGCCAGACCCAUAUUCCAGUCAUACGAACUCCAGUGACUGUGAUUUUCCUUACAGUAGGGAACUUCCCAUCUAGUCACCCAUCCCAGGUUUCUCCAAGUUGAGCACGCUUAACUUUGAGAUUCCUUCGAACCAGGCUUCCAAACUCAGAUUCCAAUAAUUCUUGUUUUUAAAUUCUUACCGAAUUAUUCUCUAUCCAACCAUGCAUCCCUUAAGCAUGGUUCAUGUUCCAGAAAACUCCCAAAAUACUCUUGUCCCAUAUUCUGCAUAUAACUCUACUGUUCAUACUAAGUCAGACGAUUCAUUCGUCACUAUUCUCACCAACAGUGAACUUCACUUUGCUACACCACAUACACUCAGCUAUAAAUACACCCAGCUACCCUCUCCCUCUCCACACACACUCAACACCCUCAGCCAAGGCAAACACCCCACCCACUCAGUUACUCCGCUCCGCCAGCUACACGCAUAGUGUCGCUUCGCCUCCAGUCCACCCUCCUGGUAAGCACCUCCACUCCACCACCAGUAGUAUCUCAACACCACAUGACACAGAUUCUACUCAAGACUCUACCCAUCCAUAUAUCACCACUCUGACUACUAUACUAAAUAUUUGUUGGUAUACUUGCUGAUUUGUAUGUUUGCUUGUUCAUGUUGGAUAGUUAACGGAGUGUUCGUGCCGUCUCGUGGAGGCUAGAUCUGCAAGUCUACGCCAGGCGGUGGACCUAGAAGCCAGUUCUGCGAGCUCCCCUUCCCCCUUCGCCGGAUAAGCACGGCAAGCUCACUGGAUCCCUUUGAUGCAUAAAUUACCUAUGUUGUACAACCACAACCCUCAGCCUAUUAUUUUAUGCAUGAUAUGAUUUUGAGACAAGUUAUUAUGGCCACCCAGCCGCUUGUCGCAAUCAAUCCUUGAUAUAUUUGUUACAAAUGAUUUGAGAAAAGGUGUGAGUUUUCAAAAGAAAAUGCUUUUCAAAAUGUGUAUGAUGAAGGGUUUUCACCCUCAUCACCUUUGAGUAGGGAUGAUCAGGGACUCCCUGGUUUAGGGGAGGGCCUAAGGUGAUGGCUCAGCUAGUUUAGGUGUGAGCAGAAGGAUUGUCCCCUCACAUAAGGACCAGUUUGUCAUCCUUCACUACCUGUACUCGUGAUAAGUACAACCACUCGAGACUGUAUGGGCGGUCACUCAAUCUGAACUCGUACGGUCCAAACCCCAGGGUUAUGAAGGCUAGGGAGCACCAGGAGGAUAAGGAGGGGGAAUGUUUUGUUCGGUUUGGACAUGGCGGUGGCCUGACUCCUUCCAGUAUAACCGUUAAGGUAAGGACGUGCGAAGAAAGAAAGAGAUUCGGGUUCGGAUCUCAUUGGCCAUGAGAUCGCAGAACCGGACUAGUGGGUAAAGUGUACCCCUCUGCGCAGAGUUCAAACCUAUUCGAAUAGUCUGUGUCCACAGGAAUGGACGAGUCUGGUGUGGUAUGGCAAUUAGUGUUUUGCUUUAAAAAAGGGUGCGUUUGAGAAAAGUGGUUUUUAAAAGGUCCGGCGGUUGAGCCGUGAGCUAUGGUGGACGGGAAGUCCAGUAGCUGUUUUUGAAAAUGAAAACUAGUGGGAAACUGCUGAGAUACCUGGAUGGUUUAGUCCAGGGGAUUUUAUUCUAUAUUGAAAAACUUCCUGCUCCUUUAGGAGAGGAUGCGCUUUAAAAAAUACAAAAUGUUUUACAAAACAACCCUGCAUAAAAUAUUGUUGUUUCUGCAAAAUAUCCUGAGCUCCACAUAUUCCAUGCAUUAUAUCUGAUUUCCAAGGUGGGCUGCUGAGUAUGUUUGUACUCACCCUUGCUUAUUUGUUGUUUUCCAAAAAAAGGAGAUUGGGUAAGAGUUAUGACUGUUCCCAACCUUGCAUGUGGCUGUUGGACCGCUGAUUUGCUUCGCUACGUAUAUCGGGCUGCUUCAGCCCCACUCUGAUGAUAUGGAGUUGAUCGCCACCUUUAUAGGUUUGUCUCGUUUAAGCAGAUAUGUAGUCAUCUGAUGUAUAAAUGUGUUUACUAGCCUCCUGGGACUAGUAAUUGUAUCACAUUUGAGUCCCAGAGGAUUGGGGCGCUUCAUAAUCUCUAUGGUGGGCAUAGAAAUAUGCUUGGGGCUGAAUUAACAGUCUCCCAUCAUACUCCUUUCAUCAAGUUUAGGUUAUGGUCAUACCUUGUUCGUUUCAUCGGGCCAUAAUCUAUUUGGCUCUCUACUUGUAAUUAUUCUUACAGGUGGAGUCUCUUUAUAUAUUAUCAUACUGGCUCAGUCUAUUUGUGCUGCGUGAGAUUUCUUAUUGGUUACGUCUAGUAAUGGUGUUGUGACUAAAAUUGAUGGUGCCACGACAAAACUGAGGGCCUUCUGUGUGUGCGCACACAUGGUCGUGCUGCUCAGCACGCGCUGGUAUCACGAUUAGUAGUUGUAAUCCAUUAUGAGACUAGUGUUAUCUUGGCACAAUCUAUUUCUGCUAUGCGAGAUUCAUUAUUGGUGCCAGUUCGAUAAUGGUGUCUCGAUUAAGGACUUAUGGUGCCUCCGCGAAACUGAGAGCCUCCUGUGAAUGCGCACACAGGAUUUUGCUGCUUGGCGCAUGCGAUAUCUAAGUCUCUAGUCAAGAUCAGUUAUGAAAUUACACUAAUGUGUUAUCUUCCGUGGACCUUCCCUUGAAACGAUUUGGUGUUGUUUAUCGAAAUGAUCAAGCAACAUCUAUCAUCUUUGUUGGAUAAAAAGGGCAUACCAUUUUCUUGAUGGUCUCUUUUCCCUUGACUUUGAUGGUGACUUCACACAUACACGUUCCCUUUGCAUCCUUUCUUGUAAAGGUGAAGCCCUGAAGCUUUCUAGUGUUGAGAGACAACUGAUUAGCUCUCAAAAUAGAGACAUGUUUCCCCUACUACUGAAAUGCAGGAAUUUGUUCAUUCGCUCUCUUAUUUAAUCCAUGCAUUCCCGAACCAAGCCAGUUCAUCUCGCAUGAAGAAACAGCUGAACAACCUGACCAAAUGAAUUUCUACCCAAAUGCAUGACCUUUUGCUAGAAAAUGUGAACUCUCAACUCUUGGCUUACCGAUGGUACUGAGAGGACCUACUCAAGGUCAAAAGUAAUUCAACAAGUUGGUUUAACUAACUUGUAACUGCUCAAUGAACAAAGGUUUAGUUUAGAGAUCGUUUUAUCAAGUUGUCUAAACUCACUUUUGUACAACCCCUCUUAAGGAAGUGUUUAUAAGAACCGAGAUUAAGUCGGCCAAUAACCACCUAAUCAUCGCUCUAGUCAUGCCUCGAUCGCGUCACGUGUGCUUUUCCAGCAUGUGUGAUCAAGUCGAGCCGUGCUAAGUAUUUGAUGAAAUGGGUUGGUCGUGAAGUCAACAUCAACGGAUCUCUUCAUUGAUAUUUUUUCGAGUCUCUAUCAUUUUUCUUGAACUUGGAUUUUCUGGCUAACACGAGUUAACUGUGAUGUUAUUCGACAUUCACACCUGUCUCGUGUGCUAUGAACUUACUGUGACCACUUGUUGGUAAACCUCUUUCUGUGUGUUUUACCCAAGAGGUUGCAUGUGGUUCUGUUUGGGUAAAGUCGCAUAUUUGUCGCUCGCCCAACAGACUUAGAUAGUACAGUGUCAUCGGAAAAAAGCAAACUGCACACAGGGGACCUUAUGUGUUCUUCUGGCAGACAUCAUCUCUAUUGGUGGACAUCUCUAAAAUUAGCUUAAGGCGAUAUAUGUUAUGUCCACUAAAGAAACCCCAUCCUAAGGCACUCGCCUUUGCUUGGAACUGCCUUAUGAUUAUCGCUGGAAUGGACAAGGGUUACAUGCUUCUCUACUCUUAAAAGUCUUUCGCUACGAAUCUUGGGACGAGAUUCUUUUAAGGGGGAGGGCUGUAACACCAUAGGUGUUAUCUCCCGUUAAACAACGAUUAUGGAUUUAAGCGCGGGAUGUCAGUAAAUAAAGUGGACACUAAAUUAUAAUCAUCUCGCAAAAGUUCAAGUUUGGUGCCAUUUUCAUUUCGAUAAUCUACGCACUUAAAAAGGGUUCAUGAAGCUUUUGAAUUAUCGAAUCUUCACCGCUGGCGAAUUUUGAACUGAUCGGAUCACGUGCGUAAGAAUGCGAAAAUCAGAAAACUUCUGAUUUUAUGUAAAAUUUGGAGCCCGCGCUGUCCGAACUGAACGAUGCGCCAGCUGAUUAAGUGAAUCGUUCCUCUCAGCAUGUGAUCGUUGGCGUCAGAUCAAAUGAUCGAUCACUGGUGAGGAUCGUAAAAAUUAGACGGAACUAAAUAACAGUCUCUCUGUCUUAAUCUAUUUCGUCUGUUGCGAGUUCGACAUUGUUUUUAUUUAUCCGGGCUCUUCCUAAAUUUUCAUGAUGUUCGGAACAUAGUUGUUCCGAAAAUCGGUGCGUCCGGUGAUUAUUUAAAAUUCAUCGCUCGCGUGAAUACGAAUUUGGAAAUUCAGUCCAGUCCUCCGAUUUCAUCUCAAACAGAUUAAGUAGAACUCGACGACUAUGUUUUCGGUGUAAAAUAAUUUAGUCCCCUUUUGUCAUCCGUUACAUCGCGUCUACGGAGUUUUAAUGGAAUUGUUCUCUAGUCGAGUGUUCGAGUAGCGAACGGAAUUCGUUUAAAGCCAACUGCAUCAAAUGCAGAUUAAAAUAUCAAAGUCGAUACUAUGGUUCUAUCCGAUCACCCACAUCCAAAUGUUUAAAUAUAUAACAGGUAAAAAUUCAUCUGACCUCGCGAAAAUGCUCAUCAAUUCAAACUUCGUCUAGAUAUUGUGCCAUGAUAGUGCCUUACUAGGACUCGUUUUGACUGUCAGCAAUUCAGCCGAGCUCCCUCGUCGUGGAUUCUCCCUGUGCGCGCGCUCGUCCUGUGCCGAGGUCCGAUCUCGCUUGCGCUCUGACCGCGCCCUUGCUGCCGGUGCUCGCCGACCGCGGCCGUCCUGCUCCUUGCUCCGACCAAGCUCGCCCGCGACGCCCAGUGUGCUGCCUACUCUGCUCGUCGAGCCCAUGUCGAGCUCCCCUGCGCGUUGGUCGCCGAGUCCUCUCUGCUCGCCUCCUACUUCUCCUCCGUCGGAGCUCGCUGGUGCCAUUCCUUGGAAGAUUCGCGCUCGCCCAGGUCGUCCGUUGUUCCCAGCACCCUCAGCCGUCGUGCCCUUCCUGCCCGGUCACGCAAACGUUGUGUUUGCCCUGAUCACAAAGCCUUUGUGUUCUCGCCGCGCCUGUAUAACCCCAGUUGUGACGUCAUGCACCCUCCAGUCGUUGACGUCGUGCCUCGCAUCCCGCUUAUUCGAUGAAACACUUAAACCCAUAGACUGUCGACGCACUGCUGCCGUACACGGCUGUCUCCGUCACUUGCGUCAGCUCGCCAGACCUGUAGCUCUAUAUACGUCACUCUCCCGUAUCGUCUUCGAGCACGUCGAACCCCGAAUCCUGGACGUUAGGCAAAAAUAAGCGAGGUACGUGUGCAUCGCUUAUCAAGUGCUCGAUCGAAGACUUCAAUCGAAGGUCGUCGUCGUUUCAUGCAUCAUCAAGAAAUUCUAAGAGUCGGGUGAAGACGGAGUUAGCAGCAUGAUGUUCACCAAGUACUCGACACAAGGGCCGAACUAGAAUCCAUGUUGUGCUCGCGGAUAGCGCGUCAGAUUUAGUAUGGUAAGCCGGUUCAUAUUUCCGUUAGUUUAAUUAUUGGAUUAAUUCGAUGAAUGCGAUGUGAUUAUUUUCAUGAUUUUGGAGUAGUCGCGUUGGGUAGGUUUGAGAUGUUAAUUAUGUGACGUAUGGUAAAUUAGUGAAUGAAGUUUAAAUUUAGUAUUUGAAAAUGUCUAAAUAAUAAUAUUAUUAGUAUUACUUAUGCCGAAUUAUAAUUGUUUGAUAAAAUUAAUGGUAGGCUAUAUAGGAUAGUUUAGAGAGGUAUGUAAUUUAUUCCAGUCACGUGGUCUAAAAAGUGAUGUGCUUUUAUUCUUGUUCUAGAUUUAAAUUCCUUAGACCACUGAGUUUAGAAUUAAAUUAAUUAACUGAUAAGUUGUGUUUAGGCUAAUCGUGUUAAAUGUAUAUAGUUUGUUGUUCCGUGAUGUUUGCGUUAGAUUCAGUUAAUCUAGCGAAGCGUAAUCAUCACGCUUAGUCGUAUGUCGAUAACUAGUGUUUCCGUACGAAAAUGUACAACGCCUUGCCGCUAGGUGUUUAAUUCGCUAUCGUGUAGCACUAUUUAGGUUUGUGAUAUUCCUGUUAAAAUGCAUUCAUGUGCAUAAUGCAUUUCAUUUAGGUACGUGAAUUAACCACGUGAUGCGGAAGACAAGCCAAGUCGACCCCAAGCGUGGGCUACUCCGCAUGGUGAUGCUGAUGGACGAACCUGCCUGACCAAGUGCUAGGACAAGGAUGAUCGUCAAGUGGUCGUCGUCUAACAACACUAACUUAGUGUUACCCAGGCAAGCCCCGGUGCAUGCAACCCCUUUCUUGUAUUUUUAAAUUAUUUUUACACACUUUAAGUCUAGCGAAAUGUGCAUUAGGUUUAUAGGAGUUGCUUGAAAACUCUUUUUUGCAUUGGCUAUCUUGAUAUCCCUUCCUAUUAUAGAUACUUCUUUGGAAGAAUCAAAUAUGAUUUACAAAAUUUGCUUAGCUCUGCUUAGAUCUUGUGGAUAGAGGUUGUCUUUUGCAUUAAGGCCUAGCUCAGGAGUUAUUCUGAGGAAGGAUGACUUCUACCUGCAAGAAUAUUUUUAUUGGGAGCAUGGUAGGAUCUUACUGUAAAGUUCCCUAUAAUGUUCUUUUCAUCCUAAGGAACACAAAAUAAUCCUAAGGAUGGAAAUACUUAAAUCGAGACUUGGGUUAGGAACAGGUGAUGUUCUACCCAGGUUGAUACACCCAGCCCAGGUGGGGUUGGCCGAGGCCCAACAAAUUAGGGUUGCUCGGAGCCCAACAGUUCAUUAAGCACACCCAACUCAGGGAAAGGCCCAAUCGCCCCAAAAGACUAGUCCAAUGGGGGAAGGGUGACUCUCCCUUUUAAAGUGGCUUCCUCCUCCCAAGUUAAGCGAGGUGGGAUAAUUCUGAGGCUCACACGGUCGUCGUCCGACUACAAUUGGGUCAAUUGGGCCAAUUGCGUCUUUGCCAACGGUAAUAGUGGAGGAUGUCCUCAUCAUUCCCACCUUCUUAAAAUGAGCCCUAGCUCUGAUACCAGAUGAUACACCCAGCCCAGGUGGGGUUGGCCGAGGCCCAACAAAUUAGGGUUGCCCGGAGCCCAACAGUUCAUUAAGCACACCCAACUCAGGGAAAGGCCCAAUCGCCCCAAAAGACUAGUUCAAUGGGGGAAGGGUGACUCUCCAUUUCAAAGUGGUUUCCUCCUCCCAAGUUAAGCGAGGUGGGAUAAUUCUGAGGCUCACACGGUCGCUGUCCGACUACAAUUGGGUCAACUGGGCCAAUUGCGUCU
rnacentral:lncRNA from 1 species